UGGAAACUUCAUCUCCUCUAACUGAGAGAACAACUUCAGAUUUCUGAUGAAGCUUGAGGAACUGUAAUUUUGAGAGUUGGGGUAAAAUACCCGACCGUAAAACACGCACCCCACUUCCAUCAAGAUUAAGAUACCUGAGAUCCUUCAGCCUUUCCAUUCCCUCGGGCAAAUCUUCAAGUCCAGUGUAACUGAGAUCCAACUUCUCCAAUGCCUUAAGCUUUGCUAAUGAUGGUACAUAACUCAGCUUUGCACACCAUCCCAGCAACAAUGCAGUGAGUCUCGUCAGAUGAGAAAUAGAAUCCGGCAACUUCUCUAUAUCUGUGUCGGAAAGAUCAAGAACCUUGAGUCCGAUGAGGUGCUGGAAAAAAGAAUCCUCACCAAAUUCAAUUUGUAGUUUCUGCAUAACAAUAAUGUUGAGAGACGGGGGCACAUUGGUGAAAAGCCUGUUGGAAUAUUCUCGAUUCUAUUUUCCAUGAGUGAAACUCUUAACAGAUCCUCUCUCCACAAUCUUACACCGGGUAAUUCUGUUAGCUGUGCACCUGCUUGAACCAUAGCCCCCCACUUUCGUUCAAUAUUUUCCAAGCCAUAUCCCAAAUCAAAUCAUGCAUCUUGACAUAUCUGUAAUCUUCAUCGUCCCUGGAACCUUCUAAUAAGCUGGCAUCUUCAAGUUGAUCAAGCAUGGUAUGGCCCCUAUCAAAUCGUGCAUGCCUUCCCCAUUUCUUUGACUAUACCCUCGUCAAUCAAAUACUCUAUCAAGUCCUCUCUCAAGAUGAUCUUGCCUUUUGGAAAUAGUGUGAUAUGUAAGAAGCACUCUUGAAGUGCUGAAUCGUUCAACUGGCAUAGCUAAAUUCAACUCGAAAUACAUUGGCUUCCAUCUCACCUGGUCCAACUUCUAAUCUUCUCAGUUUUAGCAAUGCAUCUCUCCAACGAUAUUCACAUCCACUCCCUUCAUGCUUCGAGCCAUUGUCAUGAUUCCAAGGGCAAACCAGCACACUCCUUCACAAUAGACUCUGCGAUCUCAGGAUAGGUGCACCACCACGCCCUAAUCUGUCUUGAACAGAUCCCAAGCCUCACCCUCAGAAAGAGGCUCCACUUUGAUUAUCCUUUGGCAAUCCAUUUUUCGACAUAUCUCCGUGAUCUCGUUGUGAGAAUCAACUUCCACCCGUCUGUUCUAAGAGGUAUUCCCACUUCAUCAGGAAGAAAAUGACCCCACAAAUUAUCAAGAAUUAAAAAACCUUUUUUUUUCACAUUCAACUCUGUCAACAGCUCCCCAGUUCUCACCAUCGCAUCAUUUUCAUCCAAAGGUUUUAAAUCCAAAACCUCAGCAAUGCGACCCUGCAAUGCAUGAAUGCUAAAAUCUUGUGACAUAGUAAUCCACCGAACAGGAUGAAACAUGCCUAGUUUAUCGUGAAGCUGAUUAUAGAUGUGUGUAGCCAAAGCUGUCUUUCCCACCCCCCCCAUCCCACAGAUGCCAAUGCAUGAGACCUCAUCAUUCAACAACCCAGACCAGACAGCAUUCAUGUUUCUUUCCAUAGCUUGGCCCACUAGCUUUGUUGUCGGCAAUACAUAUCUUUCAGUCCUACGUUUCUUAUGCACAGGCCUUUUAGAAGAGGGUUGUCUCUCAACAACAGACUGCAUCAAUUCCGGACUCGUGGUCAGUCUACCAAUUCUUAACUCAAAAUCCCUCAUUGAUGAGGAUGAGAUGUUAUUCAAGUUCAUUUCAAAUGACUGAUGUGCUUGCUCUGUUCUUUGUACUCUAGUCUCGGGUUCAUCUGGCAUAAGAACGAUAGGAGCUCUAGGUUCCUCGACAAGCUCAGUCUCCCCCCCAAUCAGAAGACCCUUCCGUUCUCGUUCAUCCGAAAGAGGUUGUUCUUCUUGUUCCAUUUCUAAGCCCCGCAAAGCAGUUGAAGCUGCAUUAAUUCCCUCGUUAUUGCUUGAACUUGGCACACUCUUAUCUACAGGCAUUUUAGAACAGCUUCCUCUCUCAGUAACAGCCUGCAUCCAUUCCCGACUCUCUAUACUAUGAAGAGUGAUGUUAUUCGUAUCCGUUUCAAAUGCUUGAACUGCUGGCUCUAUUCCCAAUCCAGUCACAGGUGCAUCGGGCAUAAGCAUGCUAGGAACCAUGGUCUCCUCAGGAAGCACAAUAUUCUCUUCCCAAAACUCAAAAUCCCUCAUUGAUGAGGAUGAGAUGUUAUUCAUCUGGUGUGCUUGCUCUGUUCGUUGUCUAGUCUCGGGUUCAUCUGGCAUAAGAACGACAGGAGCUCUAUGAAGAGUGAUGUUAUUCGUAUCCGUUUCAAAUGCUUGAACUGCUGGCUCUAUUCCCAAUCCAGUCACAGGUGCAUCGGGCAUAAGCAUGCUAGGAACCAUGGUCUCCUCAGACAGGAAAAACUCUCCCCCAGUUAUCCCAUCCAUCCAUGACAGUCCAUCAUCCAAAAGAGAUUGUCCUUGUUGUUGCAUUUCUAAAUCUUGCGCAGGAUCUGAAUCUGCACUUGGCAUGCUCCCACGCAUUCUGCCAGGAAGCUUAUCAAACGCUGCUCGUUGAACAUCUGGAGUUACUUUUUCACAAAUUUUAACACCACCACCUCCAACUCUUGCCAGAUGAUAUUUCAUCCUUGUAGUGGAAGUACUUCCAGCCAAUGUCUUCUCACAAAAAAUGCACUUCAAUAAACCACCAUCCACUUUCUCAAAAUAACUCUGAAAUGGAUCACUUCCUCCAGCCAUUUUUUCUUCUGUGUCCCUACAUACAGACAUAACAAAGAACUUUCAGAAUAUUGAAUUAAAAUGGAACUUAAACUAAUUGAAAAAAAGAAGAAGCUAAGUUUAAGAUAAAAAGAAAAAUUGAUUACAGGUGUUUCACUGUCUAAACCAAAGUCAAGUUAAACCACUCCAAAGAUCAAAGUGUUCUUUUCUUUUUACUUUCCCAAUAAUUCUACAACUGGUCAUAUCAGUAAUUUAAUAACCAGUAUGUUUCUUUAGCUUAGAAGAAUCAAAGUACAUGAGUUGGAAAAGAAAUGGUAUGAAAUUAGAGCUAAAAUUAAUCAAACUUAAUUACCUGAACAGCAGAUGCAGCAAGAUGUUAUCCAAUUAUUUGAUUAAAUCAGAAGAAAGAAGAUGGACGGGGGAGAGUAAGUGUGUUGGAGACGCCGGACGCGUGAUAGAGCUUCGGCUUGUGUGGUUGUGGAUAAGGAUAGAUUCAGACAGUCAGAGAAGCAGAUGACAGUGAAAAAAAGUAAAAUGGAUUUCUGUCGUUCAUGGAUGUCAUAUGGACAUGUUGUUGGUCUUCCAGGAAGCGGAUCCGGCGAGGGGUGCUCUAGUGAAGGCGUGGGGGUAGGCGGUUGCUGAUGAUAGUCUCCUCGUGUGAUGGACAGCACGCCAACUUUGCAAACGAUGAGAAAGAGCACGAUCCACCACAAAACAGCAGAAGAGAAAGCAGUAGGCCGAGGGAAGAAAAGGGAGCAGAGUCGACCAAGAGAGAAGUAGAGAGCGGUAUCUUCACAAAUGGAGAGGUUUGUGUUUUCUGUAGGUGGUAGAAAAAAGAGACAGAGGAUGAGAGACAACAGAGAGGGAGGCUACCUGUUUGUUUGCUGGUUUUUAAAAAAAGAGUUAAUUUCCAGAAAUAACAAUGAAGUUACUGAUUCAAACAUUGGUCCACCACCCUCAGGUCAAUGAUGAAGAAUUGUAGGGUUCUUGGUUAUUUCUUCUGGUCGAGGAGAAGUCUGUAACAACCUAUCACGGUAUGAAAGAUGCACGUAUUAUAAGUCUCAGAUGGUACAAUUCAAGUUGCCAUUUUGAUAUUAAAAUAACACAUUUCCAGGCCUUAUAUUUAAUAUUUUUAUGCUAAAAAAAAAAAAGCUUAGCGUAUCACAGCCACCUAAUUAGUAUUACCUAUAAACAUAUCAUCUGAUCCCAUCCCAUACAAUUGCACCUGCGGAGUGUGAGGUAGUAAAACAGAGUAUCUAAAAAUUGAAGUAGUUGGUUGUUGAGUCUUGUCAUGUUAUUGAUGAAGAAGUUACUCGUUUCAUGGUGCUCACUAAGUGGGUGAGUUUAUUAAAUUUCUUAGAGCCAAUUACCUGUGUUUUAUAUAUUUUUUAUUUUUUAAAAUAUUUAUCUUCUUUUAAUAUUUUUAUUUUAAGAAAACAUGUAUCACAAGUCACCUAACCUAACCAGUCUUAACUAUGAACAUAUGAUCUUACUAGAGAAUAAUAUAAAUCAUAUACUAGGAUCUCAUCUAAUAAUCUAAAUUAUUGGGUUGAGAUUGUUUUUUAACAUGGUAUCAGAGCUUUGAUGACCAAGUGAUCAUAAGUUCAAAUCUCAUCAUCCCCAUUUAUUUUGAUAAAAAUUAUGCAUAAGAUAAAAUAAACUUGUGCAAGUUUCAAGCCCAAAAAACUUUCACAUGAAAAAAUAUAUUAAAAAAUAAUAUAAAUUAUAUAUUAAAAUUUCAUCUAAUAAUUUAAAUUAUUAAAUUAAAAUAAUUUUUCAAGAUAUGUUAUCCAUCUCAUGUCACAUAUCAUCUCCUUCACUCUGAUGCAACCUGUGAUCAAUUAUUUUAUAUUUCAGUGCUUUGUGACAUCAACAAUGUCAUGUUACUGAUUGAAACAUUGGUCCACCACCUUUAAUUUCUUUCAUGGCAAGACUUUCCCCCCAAUGCGCAAGCAGGUCAAUGAUGACAGAAGGAGGAUGAAAACACAUGAUCUCUCUAGGAAUUCUAUGUACAAUUAAUGCUCGAUAAUCAACUUCUUUUCACGGUUAAAAGAUUAAAGAAUUAAUUUUUAUUAUUAAUAAUUUUUUCUCUUUAAAUAGAGAAUGGCUUUAGAUUAAGUUUUUAUUUAUUCAUAAUUUAUUUAAAUUAUAUUAAAGAAAACAAAUUUCCAGCGCAAAGCACAACAACACACCUUUUCAUUUAUUUUUUCUUAUUUUGUUUCUUUAAUUUAGUUUUCAAUUAUAUCUCUUUUUUUUAAAUAUGUUAGUUUAACUAUUUUUAAAUAGUAAUUAAUCUUUUGGAUGGGUUUUUAAAUUUCAUAAUAUCUCAAAGGGAUUAUUGUAAUUUAUUUAUUAAUUUUUUUUAUAACUAGAUAAGUUAUAUUUGCAUUAUAUGUUUUUAAUGAUGAAAAUAAAAUGUACUUAAUAACCAUAAUAAACCUUCAAGUCUUAAAAUGUACUUAACGACCCUCGAAUCAAUAACGAUAAAUUAUACGCUUCUUAGUUAUUUCUUGUUGAUAAUUUCGCAUCCAUCACAACUUCUAGUCUCUUCUGCAUAGGAUAAUUUAGGGAAUUAGUACACAAAAUUAAAAUAAAUGGUGCAAUGACACAAAAGCAAAAUGGUUUGGUGAAAUAACACUUUCAUUUUGUCGUCCUUUAGAAAUACAACAUUUACUAAAUGUUGUUAUUCCAAAGCACUAUAAGAUUAUUGUGAUGCUUUAGAAUAGUGAUAUUUAGUAGAUGUCGCAUUUCUGAACCGCAAAAAGAUAGUUGUCAUGCUCAACAAAUUGACUUGUUCAUAAUGGUUAGUGAAACUAGUCGAAAAGUUCCGAAAAUAACAAGAAAAAUCACAAAACUAUCAAAAUUAGGGGGCCUCGGUGAUAUUUUUUAUGUCUAAAGAUAUAAUGUUCAUAUGGCACAGUAAGGUUACCCUGGGUAAAAUAGCCUUCAAAAAAUCUUAUAAAAAUUUGAACGCGAUCCAAUAGUGAAAUCAAAAGUUAUGAUCCUUUUGAGAUGUUAUUUUGAUCUGGCAUGACCAUACCUCCUCUUGGGCCUAAACAUGUCUCAUUAGUCCAUAAAUACAUCUGUUAGGCCAUCCAAGUAAUGUUUUUAAGGAAAAUUCUCAUUUAGUUAUGGCAGACCCACACCUGACUACUUAGAAUCACAUGUUAUCGCAAGUCCGAUUAAAAUAACUUUUUUGAGAUUUCUUAGUCUACAAGUUGGACAAAGAUGUAUAUUUUGACUCAUAAAACAUAUUUGAAAUAAAAAAAUUAAUUAAAUUAUGGUUUUGUAUGAAACGAUUGACCAGUUAAUACAUCUAGAUUAAACAGGUCGACUAGAAGAUUUAAGUUUCAUAUUGUCGUGCCUCUGAAGUGCGACAUUAACUAAAUAUUGUUAUUCUAAAGCAGGACAACUAUCUUGUCAUGCGUUUUAAUAUCGACAUUUAGUAAAAUAUCAUAUUUUUGAAGCGCGACAAGUUAAAAGUAAGUUAUUUCAUCAAAAUUUUCUCAAACGGUGUUAUUCCUCUAAAUUUUUAAGUUUACUUUGCUAAUUUGACAAAAAAACAUUCCUUUGCCAUAAGCUUUAAGAGUGAGACCAUGUAAUUAAAAUUCACUUAAUAGAUUCUAGUUUUCUACUAAUUCUAUGCAAUCCAAACAGUUGAAUUUUUGAAUUUUUAAAUAUUUUUUAUUAUAAAAUUUAAAAACAGUUCAGUUUGAUUUUAAUUUUAAAAUUUUUUAAAAAAAUCAAUCCAAACCAAAUUAUAUCAAAUUGAAUCAAAACAAACCAAAUAAAUUUUUUUUAUAAAAAACUAAAGGUAUGUAUAAACUAAAAACUCCAUACAAUUUAAUUUUUUUCAGAAAAAAAUAUUAACAACAGUUGAAUAUUUGUCUUUAUAUUCAAGAAAAAAAUGAUUUUACCCACAGGUUAAAGUUUAUUACUAGUUAUUUUGGGAGGCUCGAAAAUUUUGCUAGAUGUGCAGACUAUUUCCUUAAUAUUAAUGAUUGAUCACAAAGAUAACUUAUGUCCAGUCAUGAGCUGCUAAAAUUUGAACUGCCAUGGUUUAUAAUUAUUUUUUUGGAGAUGUGAAAGUAUGAAUCCUGACCAGUUGCAGUGACAAACUACUGUUUGUUGGGAGAAAUGGCAAAUUAGUGCUAGACAUAUUUACUUGAAUAAUUCUUGAACUUUUCUUGGGCCAUCUGACAUUUUAAUUUAUGAUAGAUUUUCUAAAAUUUAUUUAUGCGGCCUUCUAUCUUAAAGAAUUUGACAAGAAAUGAUCGGUAGAAAUUUAUAAAAAUUUUACUUUUUAAAUUUUGAUUUUUGGUUUAAAUAGAUGUUAUUAAACCUGGUUGGAUACAUCAACUAGGAAUCUAGUCGUUCUCAUCUAAAACUUGGCUUAAACUAGGUUAAAUAAGAGAUUUUGUAACUCGUGAUCAUAUCAUUUUGGUUAAAAUUUAAUUUGAUUAUUAAAGUUGUUUUUCUUAAAGCAAUGACAUUUUAUUUUCUUUUUAAAAUUUUUUAAAUAGUAAACUAAUAUUAUUAUGAAUUCACCGAGUAAACUUUAGUUUAAACUUGAAAAUCUUGAAACAAUUAACUUGAAACUUUGGAUUGAGCCUUUUGAGACCGUGAUCUUGGAUUGGUGGAGUGAUGGGCUUGCCCACAAGUCUUGUGGGUUGAUGGAUAACUUUCAUAAACUUGCAUGUAAAACAAGUUAUUUUUAUCAGAAUUCAGGGUCCUUUUAUUCUUAUGUUAGUAAACAUAGAAAGAGUAAUUUAUAAGAAAGAAAAGAAAAUGAAAAAUAUAGAGAGUUUGUAAAUCGGUGAAGCUGAUGAAUAAACUUGGAUUAUCUAAAUAUUUAAUUAAUAAUUCAAGAUAUUUAUAUACCUCACUUACAUAAUUUCACCUGUGAAGUGUGAUGUAGUAAGAAAGAGUAUCUAAAAAUUCAAGUUGUUUGUUAUUGAAUUUUGUCAUGUUAUUAAUGAAAAAAUUACUCGUUUUAUGGUGCUCUCUAAGUAGGAGAGUUUAUUAAAUUCAUUAGAGCUAAUUACCUGUAUAUUAUAUAUAUUUUUUAUUUUUUAAAAAAAUAUUUAUCUCUACUUAAUAAUUUUUAUUCUAAAAAAACAUAUAUGACAAGUCACCUAACCUAACUAGUCUUAACUAUCAACAUAUCAUCUUAUCCCAUCUCAUGUCACGUAUCAUCUUAUCCUUCACUCUGAUGCAACCUGUGAUCAAUAAUUUAAUAUUUCAGUGCUUUGUGACAUCAACAAUGUCAUGUUACUGAUUGAAACAUUGGUCCACCACCUUUAAUUUCUUUCAUGGCAAGACUUUCCCCCCUAUGCGCAUUUAAAGUAGGUCAGACUACUAUAUGUUAAAUAAUAUUUAUGUAAUUUUAUUUAUUAAAGGUAGAAUAAUUUUUUUAAUUUAAUUAUAAUUUUUUUAGUUUAAUUAAUAUAUUUUAUUUAUAUUUAGAUUAGAAUUAUGCACUCAUAAUAUACAGAUUAUUUAAAAUUUUAAUUUUAUUUUUAUAUUUGAUCUUAAUUAUUUCCACUGAAUUGCCUAAAUAUGAUGAAUAAAGGGUUGGAUUUGCAAAAUUAUUUACACAUUUUAAUUUGUUGAUCGCCAUUUUCUACUGUAUCAUCGACGUUCUUCCUUCCUCCAACCAUUUCCAGCACUAACAUACCAAAGCUGUAAACAUGUGAUUUACAGGAAACAUUCCCGAAGUUCCUCGAAAACACUUUUAUCCUUGGAACACGUUUAUUUUUAUAUUGAAUCAUUACUUUUUUCCCGUUUUAUUUAUUGUAAAAAUAAAAAUAUAGUUCCAUAAUAUUUAUAAUUAUUCUAUUCUCAUUGAAUCAUGGUAAAAAUAAUUGGCCCGUGGCGCGACAUCCUAAGUAGUCUUAUCUAUAAACAUAUCAUGUUAUGCCACGUACUCAUUUAAAGCUUGACACAUUGGUCAAUUAUUUUAUACUGAUUGGGACGUUUAAGAGCCGGUCAAUUAUUUUAUAUUUCAGUGUUUUGUGACAUUAACAAUGAAGUUACUGAUUGAAAUAUUAUUUGUAAUUUGUUUUUAUGAUUUAAAAAUAUUUUUAAAAUUUUAAAAUUUAUUUUUUUUACUUCAAAUUAAUAUAUAUUUUAAUAUUUUUAAAUUAUUUUAAUGCACUAAUAUUAAAAAUAAUUUUUAAAAACUAAAAAAAUAUAUAUUAUUUUACUAUAUUUUUAAAUAAAAUAUUUUAAAAAAUAAUUAUAAUCAAACUUUCAAAUAAACUCAUAUAGUUGCUUUCAUGACAAAGACAUUUCACCGUGCGCACUCAAGUUAAUGAUGAAGAAUUGUAGGGUUCUUGGUAAUUACGCGUCAAUGAGUUGUUUGUGUCCCCAACAUUGGAGGUGCCAUCAUAUUUUAUUUCUUUUUCUUUUUUAAAGAUGUGAGCACGAUAACAUGUGAUUAUUGAAUUGUCGCUGCUGUUUCCUUAUUAUUUUUGAUAUUUUAUUUUUAUUUUUUAUUUUUAUUUUUAUAUUUUAUAUCAAGAUUUUAUUUAUUUUCAGUUUUAUUUUUUAAUUAUAAUUUUUUAUAUUUUUUUAUUUCAGUUUUUAUUCUAUUAAUUUUUAAUUUUUUUAUUUGAUACUUUUAUUUAAAAUUUUAAUCGCUUUCAAUAAAGUUUGUCGGUGGUCAGACACACCGACGCAACCUGUGGUUCAACGACAAAAAUAUAUGGUCUUUCUUUUCUGUUUUUUUCCGUGAUCCGCUACCUUUAAUUUCUUUCAUAGCUGAUCUUUCCCCCAUGCUUACUCAGGUCCAUAAAGUUUGGCUUUUCCCUUUUUCGUAAAAAUACAUAUUUCAUCUUAGAAAAAGAUAAAAAAAAAUUAAUAAUAAAGCAUGCAUUUGAGGUAUUUUUUUUUUCUUUUACACUGAUCAUUUUGUAAUUAUCAUGAUAAUGAGGGAUAUUUAUGUAUUUUUACAUUGAAAUUUUAGUUUUUUAAUUAAAAAAAUUGAUGGCAUGUAUACAUCAUGCACCAAUGAGUUGGUGGGGUCUAUACCAUUUGAAUGACGUGUGUGAUAUUUUUUUGUAGCCGAACUUGACGUUCCAACGUCUCUUUAAAAGUGACAUCAAGUUCUACUUUUUAUAGUGUGGCACGUGAUGAUAUAUGGUUGUCGGAUUGUCCUUUUAUUUUUUGUAUUUUAAUUUUAGUUUUAAUUUUUUAAUUUUGUUCUUAUUCUUUAUAUAAUGAUUUUAUUUAUUUUUAAUUUAAUAUUUUAAUUAUAAUUUGUUAUAUGUUUUUUUUUAUUUCAUUUCAAUCUUUUAUUUUUUUUAUUAAAAUAUUUUUUGAUUUCAAUAAAAAUUUUAAGUGGUAAGACACUCCGCAGCAACCUGUGCUUCAACGAUAAAAAAAUAUGAGUUCUUUUUUUCUUUUGUCAUUGGUUCUCGAGCCACAAAACAAAGAAUCUUUUUCCUUAUGGAAGCAUUGGUCCACCACUCUUAAAUUAUUUCACAGCAAGACUUUUCCCGCAUGCACCCUCAGGUCAAAGAUGAAGAAUAUUUGUAGGGUUCUUGGUUAUUCCUUCUUGUCGAGAAGCUUGUGCCUUGUAGCAAUCUUUCACGGUAUUACAAGGAUGAAAGAAGAAGGAUUAAUGCCAACCUAUUCAUCUCGUUGUUGAUCAACAAGGAAGGAACUUGAUAGAAAUAGACCCUUGAUAUUACUAUCCUAUCCAUCAAAAUCCUUCUAUCCUCCCUGCAAUUCCUUCCAAAUUAUGAGUUACAUUGAUUUUCUUCGCAAUUGAAGUAAGUUAGACAGGAUUGCCUAAAUAUGAUGAAUUAAUAAAUGGUUGGAUUUGCAAAAUUAUUUACACAGUUUAAUUUGUUGUUUUGAUACAUCUCAAACAUAUUAGACCGAUAAGUUUACACAUAAUCCAUGAACGUAUCUCACAGGUCACAACAAUUUCCUUCGUUAUUGCUCACUAAUAUUUAUUACUGAAAAGAGUAACUUAACAGUGGUCUCUAGGGUCUUUUCUAGAUGUUUUGGGGCAGUUUAUUGGGGUUUUUUGUGGCCAUAAAUUAACUUUAAGUGAUGCCUAAUCCUUUGAUCUCCCACCAACAAUCUUUUAGCAAUAUUUUGUUGAAAACGUGUACCUCUGAUCUUACAGUUUUGUUCUUAGUUUUAUUGUCUUUAUUUGUAUUCUAUCAUUUGAGUUUUCAGACUAGUAGGUAAACAUAAAUGCUUCUAGCAACAAUUUCUCUAAGUUUUUUUUUUUAUUGAAUCUAUGAAGAGAAUUUCAAGAAUUUAAUUACAAAUUUAUAUAAACUCUUGUAUUAAAACAAUCAAAUUAUAUUAUAAAAUUAAUUUUGUUAUUAAUACUGUGUUGAACUCAGAAUUUGUGAUCUAAAUGGUUAAUUUGACCAUGGUUUUGAAGAGUUUUUUUACCUUUUUUGAUCCAUAAAAUCCAUAUAUCCAUAAAAUCUUCUAAAUGAAUAAUAAAAAAGAAAAGAAAAGAAAAGAGAAGAGAAGAGAGGAGAAGAAAGAAAGCUAAGCCUUACAACUGGAAGAGACAUUAUCUGCACUGGCGUUGUAGACUGUCGAAAUUCUGAAAUGUUAAUUUCUAUGUAGGAGGUAAAUAGCAUAAAUAAAUAGCAUGACAUCAUACCUUUACUAGGAGGUAAAGGUUCCAAUACCACAAAUAAACAACAAAAGUAUAAACAAAAAGUAAAUUUAAAAUUUUUUAAAAUAUUUUUGAACCAGAAAUACAGACAGUUAGUAUUGCAUUGACAUGGUCUAGAUGAUGACUUGCCAAAAUAAUUUUCAAUUGUCGAUGCUCCAUAGAGUGUUUAAGGCACAAGCCACUCUCUCCCAGUGAAGCAAUGAUUUUUAGUCCAAGUUAUCAUGUGCGUGCUUGAAAGUUUUUUUGUCCCGUAAUUGCAGCAAAAUUUGAAUUUUGCACCUAAAACGAUCGAUAGCAAAAACAAUCUGUAAUUUUUCUUGCAAAGAUCUGUAAAGUAAUUAUAAGAUCUGGACUUGGAUUUAGAACUAGAAAAAUCUUCUAAAUGAAUAAUAGAAAAGAAAAGAGAAGAGAAGAAAGCUAAGCUUCACAACUGGAAAAAACAUUAUCAGCACUGGAUAAAUAUGAAAUGUUUAAGUUAAGUUGAUGCUGAAAUUCUGAAAUGUUUAUUUCUAUCACUCCUUACAUAAAUUGCGUGACGUCAUACCUCUACUAUGAGGUAAAGGUUCCAAUACCAAAAUACAAAACAAUCCCUAGAAAUCAUAAAAUCCUAAUUUCAUCCCCGGAAUAAUAGCAAAUGACUAGAAAUCAUGGAACAUGCUCAACUGUGUUCAACAAACUUUCAGGAUCUACUUCAAUUUUCUUAAUAGAACGGGAAAUAGUGAUCGGGAUCCUCGUUAGCUGCGGGCAAUCACCCACAGUAAUUUCUUCGAGAGAAUCGCAAAGAAGUCUUCCAGAAUAAAUGCUAUUCAAAUUUGGUAAUUUCUUCAAUACCAAAACCCUCAAUUUAUCAAAUGUACGAAAAGGAGAGGAAUGCUCAUCACUUCCCAUUAUCUCCUGCAUGUUGUAACAAUCUUCGACUACAAUCACUUCCAAUCGGCGCAACAACCAUGAUUUUGAAGUUUCAUUAUGUAUCAACCAAGGAGGGAGCAGCACCUUCAUCCCAUGACAUUUAUGUAUCACCAUCUCUCUGAGAUUGAAAAAGACUCGCUCUGAAGGUGCUUCAAAAACGGUUUCUAAGAUUAUCAAACCAUCAAGGUGUAGAAUCUCAAGCCCAUGCCCUCCAAAUACAUAUGAUGGACAUAAGCUUCUCAUGUUUUGACAACUCACAAAAACUACUUUUGUAAUGAAGCACGGGGGCAGAGAAGUUGCAUUGUCAAUCAUGAGGUCAUAAAACCAAGCCUCUUUAAUUAACCCAAACUUCGAUCUUGUAUAAUUUAGAUCUUCGAGUGAAGAGAAACAAGGUCGUCCUACAGUAACCUUGUAUGCACUUAGUGAAAAUCGCCGUCCACCACAGAAAUAUCUGAAAUCAUCUAGAUCACGGAAGUUGCAUUCCAAAGUUUCCAAAUCAUAUAAUGUGGAAACUUCAUCUCCUCUAACUGAGAGAACAACUUCGGAUUUCUGAUGAAGCUUGAGGAACUGUAAUUUUGAGAGUUGGGGUAAAAUACCCGACCGUAAAACACGCACCCCACUUCCAUCAAGAUUAAGAUACCUGAGAUCCUCCAGCCUUUCCAUUCCCUCGGGCAAAUCUUCAAGUCCAGUGUAACUGAGAUCCAACUUCUCCAAUGCCUUAAGCUUUGCUAAUGAUGGUACAUAACUCAGCUUUGCACACCAUCCCAGCAACAAUGCAGUGAGUCUCGUUAGAUGAGAAAUAGAAUCCGGCAACUUCUCUAUAUCUGUGUCGGAAAGAUCAAGAACCUUGAGUCCGAUGAGGUGCUGGAAAAAAUAAUCCUCGACCAAAUUCAAUUUGUAGUUUCUGCACAACAAUAAUGUUGAGAGACGGGGGCACGUUGGUGAAAAGCCUGUUGGAAUAUUCUCGAUUCUAUUUUCCAUGAGUGAAACUCUUAACAGAUCCUCUCUCCACAAUCUUACACCGGGUAAUUCUGUUAGCUGUGCACCUGCUUGAACCAUAGCCCCCCCACUUUCGUUCAAUAUUUUCGAAGCCAUAUCCCAAAUCAAAUCAUGCAUCUUGACAUAUCUGCAAUCUUCAUCGUCCCUGGAACCUUCUAACAAGCUGGCAUCUUCAAGCUGAUCAAGCAUGGUAUGGCCCUAUCAAAUCGUACAUGCCUUCGCAUUCCUUUGACUAUACCUCGUCAAAUCAUACUCUAUCAAGUCCUCUCUCAAGAUGAUCUUGCCUUUUGGAAAUAGUGUGAUAUGUAAGAAGCACUUUUGCAGUGCUGAAUAGGUCAACUGGGGAUAGCUAAAUUCCAACACUGGAAAUACUUUGGCUUCCAUCUCACCUGGUCCAUCUUCUAAUCUUCUCAGUUUUAGCAAUGCAUCUCUCCAAACAUAUUCAACAUACACUCCCUUCAUGCAUCGAGCCAUUGUCACGAUUCCAAGAGGCAAACCAGCACACUCCUUCACAAUAGACUCUGCGAUCUCAGGAUAGGGUGCACCACCAGGCCCUAAUCUGUAUUUGAACAGAUCCCAAGCCUCACCCUCAGAAAGAGGCUCCACUUUGAUUAUCCUUUGGCAAUCCAUUUUUCGACAUAUCUCCGGUGAUCUCGUUGUGAGAAUCAACUUCCACCCGUCUGUUCUAAGAGGUAUUCCCACUUCAUCAGGAAGAAAAUGAUCCCACAAAUUAUCAAGAAUUAAAAAACCUUUUUUUUUCACAUUCAACUCUGUCAACAGCUCCCCAGUUCUCUUUGGUGUGGUCUAUAUAAUCAUCAUACAAAGAUGUUCUGUAUUGUGUUUAACUAUCAGAUUUCCACUCUCUUUGGAAAUCAUAGCAGUUAGCGAGGAUGGUACAUCCUCCAUGAUAACUGUAACAUGUUCUACAUAUUAAUUAUCGUAUUUGUCACCAGCAAGAGUAAUAUUUUGGCUGCAAAUUAACAAGAGACUAUCAUAGGGAUUAUAUAAACAAGUUGAUGCAUGAAAAGACGAGUCUCUAUUUAUAGGUAGCCACUACAGGUAGCUUCGGAGACCACUAAUACAAGGUAAGUCUUGUUAGUAAUUCCACAACCUCUACAUUAGAAAUAAAUAAUCUGUAAAUAUUUACUUUCCUAUUGUAAUGACUACCUCAUAUGAAGAUAACUUACAAUGUAGUAAUUGAUUCCUAAUAGAAAGGAAAGUCUGGAAUCCUACCUGUGUAAGAAAUUCUGCUUGUAUAAGAAAUUCAACUUGUAGAAAUACAUGCAGAGAUCAAUAAUAAUAUAGUUCCAGCAGAUUCAAUCCUCUUUGUCUUUUAAAUUUUUUAUGGUAUCAGAGCUUGACAAAAAAUCCUGAUCCACUAUCACAUCCUAAAACUCUUCCAUUGAUGUUUCAAAGGCAAAUCUCUCAAGCCCUUACUUUAAUUUUAGUAAAAAAAAAAAAAUUUAAAUUUAGGCAAAACACCGUUUGAAACGCAAUGCCAAACGGUGGUGUCUUAGUGACAGUUUAUGCAUGCCUUGACAUGUCUUGCAGAGGAAACAGAAGCACCCUACUUUGCAUUCAGCUGGUUAAACGACAACAACACGUUCCAAACAGAAGAUGCUUCAACUAAACUGACCUAAGAGAGCUUAGACAAACAUCUCGAUAGACUUUGUUGAAGGCUUCAAAUGGUAAAUCUCGAUAGACCUAAGCAAUUUUUAUUCACAAAGAUAAAAUCUGGAAAGAACUAUUUAAGAUAUUAGGGGUGAAAUUGCUUUUGAGUUUAGCUUAUCACCCACAAACUGUUAGACAAUCAAAAAACAGGUUAGGUUUUUUUUUUUUUUUUUUUUUUUUUUGUGUUUCAGCACCUCGAUUUUGCUUACUGUAGCUCCUGUUGUUGCCCCUUUUUUUAUUUUAAUAUAGCUGGUUUUUUCAAACUUGGAUGCAAUUUUUAAUUUUUGCUUUUCCCAGGAUCGAAUUAGGUUGCUCGCUAUCUUGCACGCCCUUUCUUUUCCUAUGCUUGUUUUCCUGCAGAUUGGUUGUUUUGUAGCAACGGUAUUUCACCUCUUUUUGUUCGUCUCAACAAAAAGAAAAUAUAUAUUAAAAAAAUAUUUUUUAUAUAUUUUUUAAAAAUUAUUUUUAAUAUCGAUAUAUUAAAAAUUUGAUUGUUAUUAUUAAUUAUGAUGUCUUAUCACAUCAUUGGGGAGAGGUGAGUUUCCUUUUAGGUGACAUGUGGGAAAAAAAGUAACCAUGGACGAGAAAUGAGGUGCCUUGCUCUACAUAUAGAGAAUGAAUUUGGCGUGCGUUAGUGGGUGGUUUGUGACAUUGUUAAAACUUCAUAUGUUUAGAGGUUGGUAUUAGGUCAAGACCCAAAAAACAUGGUGGAAAACCCAUUUGGGCUUUGUCUGCAGGCAUUCAAGGUAGCAGGGGAAUCCAAUUAAUGAAUUGUUAUUGACUUAAUCUCUAUGUUCUUCAUGGCGGGAUUUUAGUUCAGAAGCUUUUUGUUAACUCAGAGUUGUCAUGUUCAAUAUAGAAGCGUUUGAACUGCUCAGGCACUUCAAAUGAAGAUGAAAGUGCGGAGGAAACUUCAUGGAUAGAUUGCAGGUAUGAAGACAUUUACAGCUGAGAAUUGAAGCUCGAGGGGAACUACUUGCAGUCAGUGUUGAAGAAAGCGCAAGAAACACUGCCUAAACACUUCAAAAGACAGGAGGCUCAAGCUUAAAGGAUGCUAGAUGUUAUCUAAUUGAUUUUUACUAGAGAUUUUCAGAUUGAUUCGCUUAAUGGAAGAACUUGCUUGCACUGUCCUGCUUAUUAUGGCCAUUUUGAUUACCUUCAAGCUACUCUUUCUGCUGCCAUCAAUCCAACCUGUUACUGUUUCUUGUUAACUAUAUCUUCAUUCUAAUUGAUUUCGCUUUCUCUUCUCUUCUGUUUUUUUUAUCAGAGUUAUCUCUGCAUGGACAAUGAACUUCGGGUGAGCCCAACAGGUUACAGCCAAGUAAACAACGAGAAUGCAUGCUCCCGCCAGCCUGCAAAAUCUAGCACAAAGCAAUCGUUUGGGUCAUAGUCUCCUUAGCCCACAGCCAAUCUCGAAAAGGAAUGAUUCUUUUAUUUAUUUUUUGUUUUUUGCAUUUAGGACUCUCAUUUCUUCGUAUGUUUACUUUGUUUAAUUUUUUAAUCAAAGCUAAAGCUCGAUUGACUUGAUCAUGAUGAUCGGAUUCACAGUCUAAAAGCCCUCAUCAACAUAAAUUAUCAUUUUAAAUUUGUUUUUUUUUAAUAUUUAUUUUUGUAUCAGAUUUUUUAUAUCUGUAGCCUUGCAUAAUUUUUUUUUUAAUUAUUAUUCAAUAAAUUUUAUGUGUGUUAGUUUCUAUUAUAAAUAUUAUGUUUUUUUUAUUACAAAUUUAUUUUGAUAAAGAGGUUCAUUAAACAUAAUUAGGUAAAUUAUCCGUGUUGCGAUAUUAGAUAUCCUGAUCUUUAUUUUUUGCUUGGUUUUCUCAAUUUUAUUUUUGUUUAUUGUUGAUGAAUCUUUUUUUCAUUGCUUUACACAAUUGGUUAUUGAUUUAUUUAAUUAGAUGCGUGCAUAAGCUUUUCAAUUAACAUCUAAGAGUUUUUUUUAGUGUAAAAAAACAUGUUGAAUAAUUUUGUAUAUUCAUUUUUUUAUAUUAUGUUUUGAUGUUUAAGAUUUGAUGCUUAUUCUUAUGAAUUUUUUUUUUAAUAUUUUUUCCCUUGAAUCUUUUAUAAAAGUUUUAUUGUUUUUAGUUUCACCCUUCAAUUCAAGUCUAUAGUGUAUUUUUUUUUAUAUGUCUUUGUUCUUUUGAUUUUUGUCAUUUUGUUAAUGUUUUUAUUUUUUUCAAUUCAACUCUCAAAUUUAAAAUUUAUUGUUGCCGUUUGAUUUAUUUUUUAUUGCAAUUUUAACACUCAUUAUUUUUAUUGUAUUUUCUUGAUUUUGAAUUUUUUCUGUGAUUUUAACCCUCACACUUUUUUCAUGUAUAGUGCUUUCGAUUUUAUAACCUGGGUCACGGUUUAAAAAGUCAACAAUAAUUGAUUUUUUUAUCUUUUUUUUUUAUUUCUCUUUCUACGCAAUUAUCUUAUUUUCAUUAGUUUUUUUUACUUUAUUAACAAAUAAGAUCAUUGAUAUAUUUUAAGAAUAUUAUGAAGAUAUAGUUCCGUAAUAUUGGCAAACUCAUCUUUUACAUUGAAUCGUUGUUUUUUUUUUUUUCCGUUUUAUUUGUUGUCGAUAUUUUAUUUUCUAAUGAUAUUAUUAAAUUAACCAAGUCAAUUGAACUCAUUAGAGCCAAUUACCUUAAGGCUUUAUUGUUCUUCACUUGUGCAACUAGGAUGUUUAUAAUAUGUUUUUUAAGAUUCUAAUAGCACCACCAUAAUUUAGAUGCACUUCUAAAUAAAGUACUCAAAUAUAAAAAAAUAUAGAGUUGUUAACUAAUGUUUUAAAUAAAGUAAAAAUACAUGUUUGACCUUAGAAAAUACAAAAACAUAUGGUAUGCAUCUGAGGAUUUUUUUUUUUCCUUUCACACAUCUUUUUUGUAAUUAUCAAGGUCAUGGGGGACAUUUAGGUAUUUUUAUAUUGAAAUUUUAAUUUUCUUUUAAAGAAAGUUGUUGGCAUGUGCUCAUUACGGGCUAAUGAGUUGUUGGCAUCUGUGUCAUUUGGAUGGUGUGUGUGGCACCUCCUGGUGGUCAAACCUGACUUUCCGACAUGUUUUUGGAGGUGCCACCAUGUCCUUCUUUAUGGUGUGGCGCGUGAUGGCAUAUGGUUGCCAACUCUUGGUGAAGACGUCUCGCUGGCAUGCGGCCUGCGCUGCUUCUCUUAGGGACAGAGGAGCUAAAAGGAUCAGGAGGCUUUGUUAAGUUUUCUCCUUCCCCUUCAAGCAUUUGGACAACAGUUUUCAUGGAAGGACGCUCUGCUGGGUUCCACUGAAUGCACCAUAGCCCCACAAUUGCUAGUUUCUUCGCAAUUUUAGCAUCUUCUUCUCCAUCGAUAUGAAACCGCAGGUCUUCUUCCUUUUCUAAGAGAUUAUAAAUCCAUUCCGGGAAGUAUAUCUGGUCGCCAUUUUCUGCUGUAUCAUCGACGUUCUUCCUUCCUCCAACCAUUUCCAACACUAACAUCCCAAAGCUGUAAACAUCUGAUUUAUAGGAAACAUUCCCGAAGUUCCUUGAGAACACUUCUGGGGCAAUGUAGCCAACAGUCCCCCUAGCAGUCGUCAUGGAAAUAGCACUUUUAUCCUUGGAACACAGCUUUGCCAUCCCAAAAUCGGCGAUUUUGGGAUUGAAUUCGUUGUCAAGCAGGAUAUUCUGUGGUUUGAUAUCAAAAUGGAGGAUUCUUUGAUCACACCCCUGGUGAAGAUAUUCAAUCCCCUUGGCUAUGCCUAGAGCAACACGAUUCAACCUUUCCCAGCCAAGGAAAUGGUUCCUUGAGUCUGCUGAGGUUAUGAACUUCUGUAAUGAACCAUUUGGCAAGUACUCAUAAACCAGAGCUCGUCUAAAUCCAUCAGCACAGAAACCGAUCAAGCGAACAACAUUGACAUGGUGGAUCCUUGCCAUUGUUCCCACUUCAUUGAUGAAUUCCUCCCCUUUUCCUAUGGAAUUAUUGAGGAGCUUCACAGCUACAGCAAUUUCAUUGGUUAGCUUUCCUUUGAACACGGUUCCAUAAGCUCCUUGGCCCAAUUCAUCACCGAAUUGAUUUGUGAUCCUCUUGAGGUCAGCGUAGGAGUACCUAGUGGGAUUCAGUGAUCUGUAAUCAUCCAAAAACAUAUCAACUCUCGCUUGAUAUUCUCUUUGUGUUUUAUCGUUGCUAUAGGCGCGGUAGAGUGCAGUAAUCACUAUAGCAAAAAGGAAGAAUCCUAAAAUCACACCUGCAUAUCAACAUUCUGAGUCAGGAAAUUCUGUUUUUUGGGACGUGAUGUAUUGAACCAAGUGUAAAAUUGAGAUGGAGAUUUGAGCUGACUACUAACCAGUAAUCAGUAGCUUUCGCCGCACAUCUGUAAGGGAUUGAAUACUUAUUAGCUUCUCCCUUUGAUGCAAAUGGUAAAAUCAUGAAAGCAACAAAAACGGAAAGAGUUUCUUUAUUAAUUUGAAAAACCCUUAUUGUUUUUUAUUUACGUAUUCAAAUGCCAAUUAUUAAUUUGAAAAAAGGAAGAAAGAUAGAAAAGCAUACCUUUAGUGUGCGGAAGAAUGCUGUAGCAUUCAGCUUCAGAAGAUCCACAAGUUGGAUUGGACCAAGACAUAGUAAGAACAUAAUUUUCUUCAAGCAAGAUACUAUAUGAAAUUCCAUAAAUGUUGUACAUCUUGGUACAAGAUAACAAAUCAGAGUAACUGAUGGGAAUACUUGAGUAAACGGCAUAAACUUCAUGCUUAAAAGUACUCAGACAUGGGAUUUUAUCCAUGUACGAAGGAGGCCUUUUCUCACUAGAAAGAGAACAAUUGAACAAGGUCCAACCAUACGGCAAAUCCUUCUGAAUUUGGAAGUGAGAAGCCCCUAAACUGAAGUUUAAACGUUGCCUUGGAAAGCAACCUUGAGGAUACCUUGCAUAAAUGAGUUGAUGUCCAUAGUCAAUUCCUUCGAUGUGGAGACUCAAUCCAGUUGGCAGAUUAAGCACUGUGCUGUUGUCCUCUGAGCAGGAUAGAUCAAACCCAGGAUAGCCACAGUCUGGUUGUUUGUCCUUGAUUCGGAAAGGAAAUCGGAUGUCAGGGCCACGGUUUCCACAUGAUCCUGUGCAGUUCAAGCUUGCUACAUGGCCUGCAAGGAAGACAAUGAAAAAGAAGAACAAACACGUAACCAUUUCUGAUGAAUAAUUCAUCAUCUCCACACUCCUCCUACGAUUUUAUCUGCAUGUGCUGAUAUAGUUUUGGCCUUUCAGAAAACUCAUGGAGUCCUUAGACGGGCGAUUCCUUUACAGAAUUUAUUUACUCCAUCGAUCUAGUGUGAUGCUCGUCCCUUUGACAUUCCUCCACUCACAAACAUGUGGGAUCCAAUUAUUCCGUUUUAUUUAGGGGUGAGCAUAAUUUCAAACGGUUUGGUUUGGAUAAAAAAAUAUAUAUAACAGAAGUUUUUUUAAAAAAAUAUUUAGUUCAAACGGUUUGGUUUGGAUAAAAAAAAUAUAUAACAGAACUAAUUUUUGUUAAUUGUUUUUUGAAUUGAAUCAAAUAAAAGAACCAAAUUAAUUGGUAUUUGUUUUUUUUUGUUUGAGUUAAUGGACCUUUAGUUGAGCAAUUUUGACAAGUUUCAGGGGCACUUGUUUACACCGCCUCAUUAUAUUUUAUAAAAAAAUAUAUUUUUUAAAAUUAAGUUUUUGUGUUUCUGAAUUGUUUUAAUAUGUUAAUAUUACAAAUAAAUUUUUAAAAAUAAAAAAAUUAUUUUGAUAUAUUUCUAAGUAAAAAAAACUUUAAAAAACAAUCACUACCACAAUGUCAAACACUACUUAAUUUAAUGAGUUUUGAGCUUAUAACAUACCUUUAGUUUCUAAUAAGUUUUUUUUAUUUGGUUUGGAUUAAUUUUUUAAAAAAGAUUUAAAAUUGAAACUCAAUUGAAACGUUUUUAAUUUUUCUAACAAAAAAAAAUUAAAAAUUCAAAAAAUUGUUUGGUUAAUUUUUGGUCAAUUUCUAUGAUUAAUGUUCUCAUCCCUAAUAAUAAUAAUCUCUCUAUUUACAUAGUAUUCACAUUGUAUAUGGUAAUAUGUUUAAUUUGGAAACCUAGAAUUAGCCAAAAAAAACUAGAUUCUAUCGUAUGAAUUUUAAUUACAUGAUCGCACUUAUGCCAAAAGACUGUUUUUUUUUUUUUUGUCAAAUUAGCAGAGUAAAUAUAAAAAUUCAAGGGAAUAACACCGUUUGAGAAAGAUUUAACAAAAUAAUUUACUUUCAACUUGUCACGCUUCAAAAGCAUGAUAUUUACUAAAUGUCGUUAUUCCAACACAUGGCAAGUAGUUGUCCUUUAGAAUAGCAACAUUUAGUAAAUGUUGUUAUUCUGAAGCAUGACAAUAUGAAACUCCAAUUUACAGGCUGACUGGUUUGAUUCAGUUAUAUUAAUCGGUUUAUUGUUUCACAUAAAACGAUAAUUUUAUAAUUUUGUUUCUUCCAAAUAUGUUUUAUGAGUUAAAAUAUAUAUCUCUAUCCAAUUUGUAGACUAAAAAAUCUCAAAACGUUAUUGUAAUUGGGCUUAUGAUAAUGAGUGAUUCUAGGUAGUCAGAUGUAAGUUUGACAUAACUAAAUAAGAAUCUACUCCAAACAAAUUACAUGGAUGAUUGUAUUUAUGGACUAGUAAGAUAUAUCUAGACCCAAGAGGAGGUCUAGUCAUGCAACAUUUAAUAAAUGUUGUGUUUUUAAAGCGCAAUAAGGUGAAGUGUGCUAUUUCAUAAAUUGUUUUUGCUUUUGUGUCAUUUCAUCAUUUAUUUUAAUUUGUGUGCUAAUUUCCUAAUUUAUCCUAUGCCAAAAAGGACUUGGAGUUGUGAUGGAUGCAAAAUUCUCAACAAAAAAUAACUAAGAAGCAUAUAAUUCAUCGUCAUUGACACGGGGUGGUUGAGGGGAAAAGUCUUGCUAUGUGAAACUUCGAGUGACGGACCAAUGUUUCCAUCAAUGACUUAAGUGUCUGAGAAGGAAACGAAAAUAAUGGGGCUUCGACAAGUCCUUUAACCUCUCAAGCAGUAUUUAAGUCCUGUUUGUCUACAUGGCCAACUCGCUAUCAGUCGAGAAGGGAGGAAAGUAAAGUAAAGGGCUCUUUCCUGUUGUCUUGCUCGAGAUACCGUGAACGAAACGGUCCAUAUUUUUGUCAUUAGACUAGAGGAGGUUACACGAGAUUGUAGCUCUCCUACGCGAAACUUCACAUGAGGACCCAUUCAUUUAUUUUAUGUUAUUGGGACAAUUGUAUAUUUACAAGACGCGGCACUAGAGUUGACUUGGUUAAAAGUCUGAGUUAAUAUAAUUUUUUAAAAAAUUAUAUUAUAUUUUUAUAUUUUUUAGAUUUGAUUUAUAUUAUUUUGAUUAUUUUUUAUUUUAUCUGAGAUAAUUUAUGAAAUUAUAUUUUUUUUUCAAUUUCAUUCUCAUUCAAAUUUUUAAUUUGUAAGAUUUGUUCCUCGUUAUUUUAAUAAACUUGAGAAAAAUAAAAUAUUAAUAAGUUAAUUUCUAGCUCAUUUUCCAUGACAUAACAAAAUACUAGAAAGUAUUUUCCAAUUUAUUUUUCAUUACACUACCAAACAUCAAAAAAUAAUUCACUUUCCCGGAAUUCGCUUUCCAAAAAAAACUACUUUCCAGCAAACAAACGAAGCCUAAAUGAAUACAAUAUUAAGAUUAAGAGUCAUAUUGUCUUAAAACAUCUAAUGUAUUCUAUAUUUUAUAUUAUAAACUUAUCUUAUCAUUUUGAAAAUGAUUUAGCCAUACUAACAUCUAUACAUAUAUAUAAUACCUCCAUUACAUCCUACACAUUUUUUUAUUUUUACACCACAAAGGUUUUCAAAGAAAAUAAAGACAUAUAAAUGUUACAUUUUAAAAUGAUAAUUCAUAAACAAAAAAUCCUACAUCUAACGAUCUGCAUCAUCUCGUGGUGUAUGUAUUUCAACAAUAACCACAUUAAUUAAUUUACUCAAUAUCUUAGUCAUAUAUUAAUUAUUUUACUCUUAACUUUUAAAAUUUAAUACUUCUAACUUCAAUCAAUAAUUUACAUAAUCUUUUCAAAAUUUAAAUAUCCAGCUAACUCAUCUCGAUUACCAAUAAUUCUAACACUUUCAUAUAAUUACCCACAAAUUUGGUUAUUCUUCCUCGGUUACCAGUAAAUCAAUAAUUCCAUCUAAAUUACCCAUCAUCUAGUUAACUACUUUUGUUUGCCAAUCAAUCUGGUAAUUCCAUAUGAAUUACCUCAUAUCCAGUUAACCUCUUUGUUAACCAAUAAACCGGGUAAUUCUCUUAAUUACCCAAGAAAUUCGGGUAACCCAUUUUGGUUGCCAAAAUCAAUCCGGUAAUUCCAUAUGAAUUACCCAGCAUCCGACUAACCUUUUUUGUUAGCCAAUUAAUAAUUCCGGUAAUUUCACAUAAAUUACCAAUAAUUCUCAUUUGUAAUAAUCACUCAAUUUAUUCAUGUGCUUCAUUCUUUUAACAUCAAUUAAAUAAACAAAUAUGUGGUUGUAUGUGAAAUGAUGAUGUUAUGUUUGAGAAUGACUUUUUAUCUGAAUGAAUUAAAAAACAUUACAUGCUUUGCAUUUCGGCACAUAAGAAAAAUAUUAAUGAACUAAUGAUAUAAUGACAUUUGAUUGAUUUAGGAGUUGUGUCUGGAGCUGGUUAUCAGAUAAGAGGAGUUGGGUUAUCACGAGCAGAAGGUAGGUGAUUUGUCACCUUAUUUUAUAAUUAUUAGUUUUCCUUAAAGAUUUAUGUUGUUUAUUUAAUUAAUGUUAAAAGAAUAAGCAAAUGAAUAAAUUGAGUGAUUAUUACCAAUAAAAAUUAUUGGUAAUUUAUGUGAAAUUACUAGAAUUAUGUAAAAGAUCGCUUCAACUUUUUUAACUUGGUUGCUCUUUCUCAACUAGACAACCACUUCAACUAAUUUCUAGAAAUCAGUUUCGAUAUUUUCACUAUCUUUCCCUUACAACCGAAGGAAGCAUAUCUUGGAAUAUCUCAUGGAUUUGGACUGGAUUGGGUGUUUUGGUUUCUGAUGAGAUGCUCCAUGAAAAAUAUCAGGCUCGCUGGAUGUCGUUGUUUGUGGUAUUGACAGUUGAUGACUUUUUUUUUUUACUUUUCAAAGUUAAUGAUUCUGACAUUUCGAAGGAGGUGGGAAAUUAUCUUCGUCUGUGAAGUAGUGUUGAAUGUUGGAUCAAUAACUCACUGUCUGCUUUGCUACUAUUCCUAUCCGAUGACUCUGACAUUUCAAAGGACGACCAGGUAGGGGUGUUCUCCUUCACCUUUCAUUGCAUUAUCAGUAGCUUCCACUCCGAAAUUCAAUAGUUUUUGUUGGAGAAAAAAGAAAAGGAAAAAAGAAGAAUAGUUUAUGCAAAAUUGCGUAUACACUGUGUAUCACUUCAGCCUUCCCCAUGUUUAGAGGAAUGAACGUCCUUUUUGCUUGCUACAUAGCUUUUCUUUUACAGCUAUUAGUCUUCCAAACUUGCCAUUCUAGCAACUUCACUGCUCAUUGUGCUCCUUCUUCAUGCGGCAAUAUCCAAAACAUAAGCUUCCCUUUCAGACUAGACACUGAUCCACAAAGCUGCGGAAACAAUAAUUAUACUCUGAUUUGCGAGAACAAUAUUGCUACAGUAUUAUAUUUGUAUUCAGGUAAAUACUACGUGCAGGCAAUCGACUACGGUAACUUCACAAUCCGAGUGGUAGAUGCUGGUGUACAUGAUAAUUCCUGCUCCAUCCCUCGUUAUUCUUUGGCACCUGAUGACUUCAGUGACGGAGAUCCAUACACAUGGUAUAACUACAAGCAGGUGCCGCCAGGAGUGAGUGAAAGUUUCGUGUACUACUGGGGCCACUGGUUCUUACCUCCACUAUCACAGCCUAUGAUUUUCAUGAGCUGUGAAAAUACGGUGAAUUCUCCUCUUUAUGUGGACACGGCUCCCUACGGCCUUAAGUAUGGAUCAGGAAAUUAUUCCAACUCUUCUCUUGUGAGUCAUUCGAAUUAUGUGGCUCUUGGGGGCAUGACUGCCUCGGAUUUGAUGGAACUGUGCAGCAUAGAGAAAAUAUUUUUGCUUCCAAAGAAGAGCUACACAUACAAGUCCUUUGAAGAAAUACACAGUGACCUGGCAUACGGGUUUGAGCUUUCAUGGUACAACAUCUACUGUGAAAAUUGCACAAGGGGUUGCUACAUCGACAGCUCAGACCGUCGUCAAUGCAUUAGCAGCUGUAUGUAACACUUGAUGAUUAAGUUGCAUCACUUUGAUUCAUAAGACCAUAUAUAACUUGUGAUUUGAGGUGGUUUCAUAUAUUUUCUCUGGCUUACUUUUCAAUUUUCCUUUUUUUCGGGCAUUAGCACAAUAUUGCACUGUCCCCAGAUCGAUGUUCAUGUACAAAUUCUGUGCAUCCAUUACCUGUGAAUUCUACUAUAGUGGACUGAUUAUGAGAUUCAUUCAUGUUCAUAUUGUAAAAUAUUCUGACUAUAAUGUGGUUGAAGGUAGUUGGACAGAUUCAUUGGUCUUUUGCAAUUUCAGGAUUGACACAGUGAAACGUUUGGUUCAUCUUAACUUGACCAUGGAUACACAUUAAUUAGUUCAAGGCACAUUAUUAAUUAAAUUGUGUGUGCUCUUAUCUAUUUUCUUUCGCAUUUACUGUUGCGUAUACCAUUAGAACUCUUUGUAAACCUAAAUUCUCGACAGAUUUUGGUGAAAGCUUCUGGGAAACACUACUCCUCGCAGUGAUAGGUGCGAAUUCUCUUUCUGCAUCUCACCUUGUUUGUGUAUUCUUAAGUGUUUCUUCAAACGACUUAUUUGUGAAAUAAGGAUUGUUGUUUCUUGAAUAGUAAUUGUAAUUUUGUUCACCAUUUUCUGCAGAUCCCCUAUAUAUCCAUUUUAUUUGGUAAGAGAUUCCAUCAUUUCUUUAGUUUCGCAACAAAUUUCUAGUGGAGACAACAAAUAAGAUCACAAAACUUGAUUGUUUUCUGGAAAUUUCCUACACAGCACUGCUUCAUGGGCCAAAAGUUGUUUGUGGGACUCCAUGUGUGAUUAUAUUUUUGAUCUACAAAUUGCGAAGGAGACAUUUAUCAGCAUAUGAUAUAGUUGAACAAUUCCUACAGGGUCAGAAUAACCUUAUGCCAGUAAGGUAUUCCUACUCAGAUAUCAAGAAGAUUACUAGAGGUUUCAAGGAGAAAUUAGGUGAAGGAGGCUUUGGUACAGUUUACAAAGGAAAGCUUCGCAGUGGACAUUUUGCAGCAGUAAAAUUGUUGGGAAAAUCAAAAGCUAAUGGACAGGAUUUCAUAAAUGAAGUUGCUACCAUAGGAAGGAUUCACCAUACUAACGUGGUGCAGCUAAUUGGUUUUUGCGCUGAAGGAUCAAAGCGAGCUCUUGUAUAUGAUUUCAUGCCUAAUGGAUCUCUUGAUAAACACUUGUUUACUUGAGAAGGAUCAAUCUCUUUAAGCUGGCAAAAACUGCAUCAGAUUUCCCUUGGAGUGGCUCGUGGUAUCGACUAUCUUCAUUUAGACUGUGACAUGCAAAUACUUCAUUUUGAUAUUAAGCCUCACAACAUUCUUCUUGACGAAAAUUUCAGUCCAAAAGUUUCUGACUUCGGGCUCGCUAGGUUGUACCCCACUAAUGGCAGCAUAACAUCUCUUACUGCAGCAAGGGGCACCAUAGGAUACAUGGCUCCUGAACUGUUCUACAAAAACAUUGGACGUGUCUCCUAUAAAGCUGAUGUAUAUAGCUUUGGAAUGCUGCUAUUGGAAAUGGCAGGCAAAAGGAAGAAUGUAAACGCAUUGGCAGAAAAUUCAAGUCAAAUCUACUGGCCAUAUUGGGUUCAUGACCAAGUAUCUGAUGGAAAGGCCAUAGAAAUCGGAGACGAUGCCACGGAGGAAGAACGUAAGAUCGUCAAGAAGAUGAUUAUGGUUGGAUUGUGGUGUAUACAAAUGAAACCCAUGGAGCGGCCUACAAUGAAGAAUGUUGUGGAGAUGCUUGAAGGAGAUUUGGAAAACUUGCAAUUGCCUCCUAAGCCUGUCUUCAAUCUAGAUGUGACGCCACCAAACAUUGAAGGAGAGUCAUCAUCGUUGUCAGGUGAUUCUACCGCAUCAACCAGUUUGAUUGAAAAUGCAUACUAAGUUAUAUGAUGUGGAAUGCUCUGCUUACAUGCAGGGAAAAUGAUAGAAUAAUGGUGCUUUCGGACUUGGUUGUGAUGAUUUAGUCUGCAACACAUUAUGAUAAUUUGCAAUACUUCCUUUUAUCUGAUUUGUGUUUAGCUAAUUUAGAGUUCAAGCUGCGGCUUGUUUCUUCGGUGUGGUCUAUAUAAUCAUCAUACAAAGAUGUUCUGUAUUGUGUUUAACUAUCAGAUUUCCACUCUGUUUGGCAAUCAUAGCAGUUGGCGAGGAUGGAACAUCCUCCAUGAUAACUGUUCCAUGUUCUACAUAUUAAUUAUCCUAUAUUUUUCUCCAACAGAAUAAUAUUUUGGCUACAAAUUAACAAGAGACUAUCACAGGGAUUAUAUAAACAAGUUUAUGCAUGAAAAGACGAGUCUCUAUUUAUAGGUAGCCACUACAAGUAGCUUCGGAGACCACAAAUACAAGUCAAGUCUCUCUAGUAAUCCUUCCACUAUAAGUAGCUUCGGAGAUAGAAAAUAGCGAUUUAUUUGCUAUCAUAGGGAUGAUUCUGAACAGAGGGGCUUAAUUUCAUUUUCUUCCACCAACAAUGCCUUCGUGUCAAUGUUCAGCCCCAUGAUAAUCGAUCUAGCGUCACCAUUUGCACAUUACCAUAUCUUGCAUAAGCCACGAGGAACCAAUCACAACAAAACAGGAUUGAAAACCAUGACCAUAACGGGUGCUGUGAAAUGAAUAUUGAAACAGAUGGGUGAAUUUGAUGCAGAAAAGUAGAGAGGAGACAAUGAAGCUUGCUUACCGGUCAUGGCAUUUCACCAGGGAGCUCUGCUUCUUCAAAAAUGCUCAACUGUGCUCAACAACCUUUCAGGAUCUGCUUCAAUUUUCUCAAGAGAAUGGGAAACAGUGAACGGGAUCCUCGUUAGCUGCGGGCAAUCACCCACAGUAAUUUCCUCAAGAGAAUUGCAUAGAAGACUUCCAGAAUAAAUGCUAUUCAAAUUAUGACAUUUGUUCUGCGAGAUAUUCCCACUUUAUCAGGAUGAAAAUCAUCCCACAAAUCAUCAAGAAUGAUGACAUGGUUUUGUAUCACACUCAAUGCUGUCCAUAGCUCCCCAGCUCUACUCGUCACAUCUUUUCCUCUCGGAAGACAUAAACCAAAAGCUUCGGCAAUGAGAUCCUGCGAGGCAUGAAUGCUAAAUUUCUGUUCAUAUGCUGUGUGAUGAAGGUGUUGCUUUCUGUGACAUAGUAAUCCAACAAACAUGAAAAAAAAAAAUGUCUGGUUUCUCUUGAAGCUGAUUAUGGAUAUGUGCAGCCAAAGUUGUCUUUCCCACUCCCCCAUCCCGUACAUGCCAAUGCAUGAGACCUCACCAUUCAACAACAAGACCAGACAUCCUUCAUAUUUCUUUCAAUAGCUUGACCCACUAGCUUCGUUGUCGGGACUACAUAUCUUUUAGUCCUACGUCGCUUAUGUACAGGCCUUUUAGAAUAGCUUACCGUGUCAAUUCUCAAGUCAUGUUCUCUAUAUAAACUCUUAACAAAACAUCCCUCGUUGAUGAGGAUGAGAUGUUAUUCAAGAUCAUUUCAAAUGCCUGACAUGUUUUCUCUGUUCUCUGUCCAGGCUCGGGUUCAUCUGGCACAAGUACAACAUGAGCUCUAGGUUCCUCAACAAUCUCGGUCUCCCCCGUCAAGAACUGCUCUGUUGAUCACCCCAUCUUCAUCACUUUCAAAAGAAACAUGCAAUAAUUUUGCUAACUUUGAGUUUCUAUCGUCAAAAUUCACUACAAAUCACUUCUUUUCAUUGCACCAUUGGCUUCCCAGCUGCAAAUUCAAGUACCCUUUUUAUAUAUAUAAAAUCAUCAUUUUUUUGGGCUAAAAACAACAAGUUAAUAACAGGUUUAUGUAUAUCGACAACGUCAAUUUAUUUUAUUUAUUUAUUUAAAAUUAAUACUUUUUGGUAUUUAAUUUUUUUUAUCUAUUUAUUUGCUUAAAAAUAAAAAAUUUGUGUUUUUAAAUUAUUUUAAUGUGAUGAUAUCUAAAAUAAUUUUUAAAAAAUAAAAUAAAUAUUAUUUAAUAUAUUUUUGAAUAAAAAAACACUUUAAAAAAUAACCACAACCAUACUUUCAAAUACACCGUUAAUUAUUUUGACAUUUAAAAAUUACAAUCUAAACUGAACUUGUUUGUCAUUCAAAUUUAAAAUUUUUAUUUUGUUUGGAAUUAAUAUAUUAAUAAUAAAAAUAAUUUUUUAAAAAUAAAAUAAAAAAAAUCAUUUUAAUAUAUUUUUAAAUUAAAAAAAUUCUGAAAUAUUAAUUUUUAUCAAACUCACAAGCACUCCUUACAUAUUUACUAUUAGGUAAAGGUUCCGAUACCAAAAUACAAAACAGUCCCUAGAAAUCAUAAAAUCCUAAUUUCAUCCCCGGAAUGAUAGCAAAUGGUUUUGAUAGCUUUGCCAAACCUUAAAUAUUAAAAAUAUUUCACACCGUAUAAGAUUCCUUACAUUUACUAUUAGGAAAAUACACGCUGCAAUUACAACUGAAGAUGCAUGGAUUUUGGAGAGAGGGUACGAACGCCUUCUUGUCAAUGUGCAGCCCCAUGAUCAUCGAUCUAGCGUCACCAUUUACACAUUACCAUACCUUGCAGAAGCCACGAGGAAACAAUCACAACCAAACAGGAUUGGAAACCGUGACCAUAAUGGGUGCUGUGAAAUGAAUAUUGAAACAGAGGAGAAAAUGAAGCUUGCUUACCGGUCAUGGCAUUUCACCAGAGAGCUCUGCUUCUAACUGUGAAAUGCGUCUUCUUGUGGGUAAGAGGCAAGGUCUUCAAACAUGCUCAACUGUGUUCAACAAACUUUCAGAAUCUACUUCAAUUUUCUUAAGAGAAUGGGAAAUAGCGAACGGGAUCCUCGUUAGCUGCGGGCAAUUACCCACUGUAAUUUCUUCGAGAGAAGUGCAUUGAAGUCUUCGAGAAUAAAUGCUUUUCAAAUUUGGUAAUUUCUUCAAUUUAUCAAAACUACGAAAAGGAGAGGAAUGCUCCUCUCCAGGCACCAAAACUUCACAACUUCCCAUUAUCUCUCGCAUGUUGUAACAAUCUUCGACUACAAUCACUUCCAAUCGGAGUGUAGACAAAAACCGUGGGAGCAGCACCUUUAUCCUAUGACACUUAUGUAUCACCAUCUCUCUGAGAUCGAAAAAGACACCAACAGUACCUAGCUUUGAAGGUACUUCAAAAGGGGUUUCUAAGAUUAUCAAACCAUCAAGGUGUAGAAUCUCAAGCCCAUAUGAUGGACAUAAGCUUCUCAUGUUUUGACAACUAACAAAAACUACUUUUGCCCAUAUCAAACCACCUGUUGUUUUGCCCCUCACUACUUCCACCAUUUGUGCUCCACUGGAUCAGUCUGCAAUUCCAUUGCCUGCCUCUGCCCCAACUCCGCUGAUUUCCAAUCACCAUCCUAUGACUACUCGUGCAAAGUAUGGCAUCAGUAAGCCUCGUGCUCUUUGUGCCAGUAAUUAUCCCUUGCCUCAAAAAUAUGUUGCACUACUUAUCUCCUCCAUCCCUCGUGAACCUUCAUCUUUCAAAGCUGCCAGCCUUGAUUCACAUUGGAUUUCUGCAAUGACAGAUGAGUAUCGUGCACUCCUUGAUAAUCAGACGUGGUCUUUAGUGCCUCGUACAUCCUCUAUGAACGUUGUCGGCUGCCGUUGGGUUUACAAAAUCAAAGAACAUGCUGAUGGUUCCAUUGAACGCUAUAAAGCGCGUCUUGUCGCUAAAGGCUUCAAUCAAGAGUAGGGUGUUGAUUUUACAAACACUUUCAGUCCAGUUGCUAAAGCAACAAUAGUUCGUCUACUUCUCUCAAUUGGUCUCUCUCGUUAAUGGAGUAUUCGGCAGCUUGACGUUAAAAACGCUUUUCUACAUGGUGCUUUAACUGAAGAGGUUUUUAUGUCUCAACCUCUGGUUUUAUCCACUCUUCUUUUCCUAACCAUUUGCAACUUCACCGCUCCAUUUAUGGUUUAUGUCAAGCACCGCGUGUGUGGUUCCAGAGUUUUAGUAAUGCCUUAAUUUCUCUUGGCUUUAAAUCUAGCAAGGCUGAUCAUUCUCUUUUUACAUAUCAUUCAUCUACUGGUACAGUGUUGCUGCUUGUCUACAUCGACGAUAUUAUUAUUAUGGGUUCUACAGAUUCUCUUAUUAAUCACUUGUCACUAAGCUCUCUCAACGCUUCCAUAUGAAAGAUCUUGGUGACCUUCAUUAUUUCCUUGGUCUUGAAGUUCAUCGUACCCCCACUCAUUUUCGACUCACGCAAACUAAGUAUCUGCUGUCUAUAUUUAAGUCUUCCAGCAUGCUUGACUAUAAACCUCAAUCUACUCUUGUCGUCUCUGGACGCAAACUUUCCAUGUCUGAUGGCCUUUUAUUAUCUGAUCCUCAUGAAUAUCGUCGUCUUGUGGGAGCUCUUCAAUACCUUACAUUUACACGACCGAAUAUAUCUUAUUAUGUUCAACAAGUUUGCCAAUUCAUGCACUCUCCACGUGAUGCUCAUCUCCAAGCUGUUAAACGAAUUUUACGAUACCUAAGAGGUACAAUUGGUUCUGGUAUUUGCUUCUCUGCCAACUUGUAUCCCACUUUAUCCUGCUUUCUUGAUGCCGAUUGGGCAGGAUGUCCUGAUACUCAUCGCUCCACCAUGGGCCACUGUGUUUUUCUUGGCUCUCAUUUAAUCUCCUGGAGUGCCAAGAAACAAUUAACCGUUGCACUCUCUAGCACAGAAUCUGAAUAUAAAGCUCUUACUCAUGCUUCUGCAGAUCUCUUGUGGAUUUCUUAUGUUCUUCGGGACAUUGGUUUUCACAACCUCCCUGCCUUGCACACUCUACUCUGACAACAUGGGUGCUACUCAAUUGGCCCACAAUCCUGUUUUCCAUGCCCGCACCAAACACAUUGAGCUUUCUUAUCAUUUCACACGUGAACUUGUCUCCACUGGUUUCCUUAAAGUCUCCUUUGUUCGCUCAACGAAUCAACUUGCUGAUCUCUUUAACAAAGGAUUAUCCUUGACUACAUUUUGCUUCUUUCGUGACAAGUUAUUGUGGCAUCCUCUCCAUCAACUUGCGGGGGCAUUAUAGAAUACAAGAUAUUGACAGAUAUUGUAACAGAUUGCAUAGCUAUAAUCAAGGCUUUUGAAUACAUUCUUAGCUAAUGUUGAGGCUAUAAAGUAGGCAAGUGAUAUGCUAUUGUAUAACUAAUUGCAUAUUUACAGGGCUUUGUAAAAUAACUAUAAAUACAUAGAAUCAACUAUUAAAGGUUGAGCCAUUCUUCUACAAUUUUUUCGCAUUCUUUCUUUAUUGAUCAGAAAGAUCUAGAAUUUGAACUGCCAUGGUUUAUAAUUAUUUUUGGAGAUCUGAAAGUAUGAAUCCUUACCAGUUGCGGUGACAAACUACUGUUUAUUGGGAGAAAUGGCCAAUUAGAGCUAGCCAUAUUUACUUGAAUGAUUCUUGAACUUUUCUUGGGCCAUCUGACAGCCUAUGAUAGAUUUCCUAAAAUUUAUUUAUGCGGCCUUCUGUCUCAAAGAAUUUGGCAAGAAACGAUCGGUAGAAAUUUAUAAAAAAUUUACUUUUUAAAAUUUGAUUUAUAGUUUAAAUAGAUGGUAUUAAACUUGGCUAGCUGGAUUCAUCAACUUAGAAUCUAGUUAAAUUCAACAAUUUAUAAAAAAUCUAGUUAUCGUCUAAAACUUGGCUUAAACUAGGUUAAAAAAAUUAAAUAAAAAUUGAUUUAAUCAAAUUAAAAAUCAAGUAAAUUAACUCGCAAUUCAAUCAUCUUAAUUAAAAUUUAAUUUAAUUAUUAAAGUUGUUUUUCUUAAAGUAAUGACAUUUCUUUUUUUUUAAAAUUAUGAAAUAAUUCACCCGAGUAAACUUUGUUUUUCUUAAAACAAUGACAUUAUAUUUUCGUUUAAUUUUUUUUAAAUAGUGAAAUAAUUCACUCGAGUAAACUUUGAUUUAAAAUUGAAAAUCUUGAAAUAAUUAACUUGAAAUUAAUUAUUAGUACUCUCAUUCAAUUCUCAAUUAUAAUCAUGGCACAUGUAACUGUUUUUAUUAUAUAAAGGCUUAUUUAUUUUUAUGUUUUAAAAGGAUUUUUUUUUAAAAAAAAUUAUUUUUAAUUAAUUUUUUUUUGAUAAUUUUAAAUUGUUUUAAUGUGUUAAUAUCAAAACUAAAUUUUAAAAACUAAAAAAUAUUAUUUCGAUACAACACAGUUAGCAUACUCUCAAACAUACAAAGUAUUUUGUCAAAAAACUUCACAUAAAAUCAGGACAACACACAAGCAAUUCAUUCCAUCAAUCUGGAAUUGCAUUACAAAAACGUGAAAAAAAAUAAAAUCUGGAGUUAACUCAGAAUCUACUAUUAUAAGUAAUUAAGUAUACAUGCAUCAGCCAGCGUUAAUUUGAUUCCAAUCACACCUUAGAAUCCAACCUCUGUGCUUCUUUUCCUGCGCAAUCCUUCAGCACAGCUCGGGGUGGAAGGACUUUCUUGAAGAUGGAUAAGAAACAGUUCACUUCGAGAUCAAGCUCGUCAUCGUCAUCGUCAUCCAUCUUAGCCUUCUCCUCUUCCAUUCUCUUCAAUUUAUCGUUGUGUAAUCUUCUCAGAACAUAUGCUUCAGCUAGACAGUACCCAUGAGUUGCCAUGGCCCAAAAACAUGUUCCAGGUGUCUUUGUUGAGAGACCAGUGGAAAUGAACUAGGGUUGAUGAUGAGCUGAGAGGCUCUGUUUAGGUCAUUUUAUAAGGGUCUGUCGGCUUGGGGAGGAAGGAAGUCGUGUGAUGUUCAGUGGUCCAAAUGGAACUUGAGAGUGAAAUAUUUGUAAUUUUUUGGUGGACAAUGUCAUGGCAGCGUAGAAACUUUGUGGAAAUGGACAAUUAAAAAAACAGGGGAUGUAAGAAACCCUUGUUUUUAGUUAUUAGUGAUUAUGUGUGCAACAUCCGGAAUUUUGCAUUGAAAGAAAGGAAGAAAUUAUGUAGAGGAAACACACCCUUGGACUUGUAAAUGUUAUACAUACUUAAUACAUGAACUCCUAACCAGUUACCGAAGGUAACCUCAACUUAUAAUUACUCUGUUUUAGAGAAAGCUGCCAACUCUUGUUGAAGCCAUUGCAUGCAUUCUUAUGAACUUGGACUGGGCUUUCCACUAUUGCAAUCUUGGGCUGCAAGCUCUAGGAUGCUUCUAACAGACACACAAUAAUGGGAGAAAUGAGUAUGUAGCUCUUGAAGACAAAAUGUCAAAUCUUUCAUGUGGUAAGGGUGAUCGAUGUUUGUUCUUCGAAGAUCAUGCAGUUAUUGAUCCUGUCUUGCAUCUUAAACUUUUUCGACGACGAGCUUGCGUGCGAGAUUCAGAGGAAGAUUGAUGAAGUUGGACCGGGCUUUCCACGAUUGCAAUCUUGGGCUUCUUCUAGGUUUGUAAUUCCAUUGUAAUCGUUCAAGUUGGCCAGGACAAAGACACAAUCAUUGAAGAAAUAAGUGUGUAGCACUUGAAGAUUAAAUGAAGAAUCUUUCAUUUUGUAGGGGUGAUCGUAGUUUGUUCUUUGAAGAUGAUGCAAUUAUUGAUUUGGUCUUGCAUCUUGAUGUCGGUAAAUGAUUUUUUUGUUUUUCCAACCAAUAUAACGAUAAAAUUUGGAAUCACCGACAAAAAAAAAGCCGACGCACAUAUUCCGUCAAUAAUAUAGUCGGUAAAUAAUUUACCGAUGAACUCCUAAUCACACACCGACAUAAUAUUUUCAUCGGUAAAACUUCGAAAUCUUGUAGUGUGAAUAUGACUUGCUAAGAAAUGCUGUUUAUAACGAGAGAGACUCUUUCAGAGAGUUGGAGAAUGAGUUUUCUCAUGAGCUAGAUGUUGUGUUUUUCAUAAAGAAAGUGAAAAAAUCCGAAGCUAUUGUUGUAUUGAUACAACACCAUUGUUGAGCACUUUCACCUUAUAAAUUAUUUAUUAGAGAUUUUGAGCAGUUGGAGUAUUGGGAGAUUUGUUAUUAUCUCAUGUUCUGAAGUUUCAAGUCGUUAUCCAUUAAAAGAAUUUUUGGUGACUCUUACUAGCUUUCCACUAAUAAAGUCAAGAAAACUUCAUGGUUGAAUUAAGCUUUUUGAAACUUCGAUCUUGGAUCGGUGGAGUGAUAGGCUUUGUGAGAGCGAGCCCGUUUAUAGGAUUUGUAAAUACGUGUUGUUACUUUCAAUAUAUAUAUAUAUAUAUAUAUAUAUAUAUAUAUAUAUAUAUAUAUAUAUAAGUUACAUUUAUGAAAUGAUUAUUUUAUAUUUAUAGUAAUGUUAGAUCUUAACUUGUAUUGGUGUAAAUAUUUUAUAUGACAUAUAAUUGGUUAAUUAUUGAUUUUAUUCUUAAAUAUAUUUGGAUAAAUGAUUUAAUAACUAAAUAAAUCUUAAUUUCAUUAUAUUAUCUUCUUAGCCAUAAGUUUUUUUUUUUUUUUUUUAUGAUGAGUAUAAUAAAUACUCAUAUAAAAUAAUUAUAUUAUCAUUUUUUUUUUACCUUAAAAACACCUAAAAAAGAUCUAAAAAAGAUCUGAGCUUUGGUAGAAUUUUUGUUUUGGUUGGAUUUUAGGUUUUGGGGUGUUUUAUUGGGUUUUUGGUGGCAAUGGAUUGACUUAACAAGGUCUCUAGAGUUUUUUCUAGGUGUCUUGGGUAAAAAAUAAGUUGAAAAUUGAUUUUUAGGUAAAAAAAUAAAGGACCAUAUUUUUCCGGCCAUCAUAAUAGCCGAAUUCUAGGUUGCGCAAACGACGCAUCAUUGUUUUAUAUACUCGAGGCAUUAUAAUUUUUUUUCUAAAUAAAUGCUCGCGCAUUAGCCGUUGUUUUAUUGGGUCAGAUGUUAGGUGUAGCUUGCUUGGCCCAACAGUGCCUAUCCUGAUUUUUUUUUUUUUUUAGUUUUGUGUGUAUUUUAUCAAAUAAAUUUUUGGUUUAUAUUUUAAUUAGAUUGUGAUUAAUUUUAAAUGAUAUUGAGUAUAUUUAAUUUUUAAAGAGGUAAGUAUGAUUCAUCUGUGAUUUUUUCUUAAUUUUAUAUAGAUUAAAUUUGUUUUUUAAUAUUGUUUUUUUAAUAAGAUUUUUUAUAUGUGCAACCUUACAUUGUUUUUUUAAUUAUUAUUCAAAAAUUUUUAUGUGUGUAUCAGUUUCUAUUACAAAUUUAGUUUAAUAGAGAGGUUCAUUAAACACAAUCAUAUAAAUUACCCAUAUUGCAAUUACCCAAAUUUAUGUAUAGUGCUUUUGUUCCUAUAACCUAGGUCAUUGUUUAAAAAGUUAGUCUUAUUUUUUUAUAUUUAUUUUUUUCUAUAUAAUUAUUCUAUUUUCUUUUAAUUUUUACUUUAUUAACAAAUAAAAUUAUUGAGAUGAUUUGAAAAUAUUAUAAAGAUAUAGUUAUAUAAUAUUGACAAAUAUUUAUCUUUUGUAUUGAGUCAUUGUUUUUUUUCUCGCUUUAUUUACUGUCAACAUCAUUAAAUUAACUAAUUUUAUUAAAUUUAUUAGAGCAAAUUACCUAUAUAUUAUUUUAAAAAUAAUAUUUUUAUAGUAAUUGGUACUUGUGGUGCGACCCGCCUAACUAGUCUUACCUGUAAACAUAUCAUGUUAUGCCAUCCAUGUCACAAACUCAUUUAAAGCUUGACGCAUUGGUCAAUUAUUUUAUAUUUCAGUGUUUUGUGGCAUUAACAAUGAAGUUAGUGAUUGAAGCAUUAGUCCACACUCUUAGUGUCUUUCAUGGCGAAGACUUCCCCCCCAUGCGCACUCAGGUCAAUGAUGAACAAUUGUAGGGUUCUUGGUUAUUACGCAAUAUUUUUUUUUGGUCACCAAACCUGACCUUCGAAGAUGUCAUUAAAAGUGCCGCCACAUCUUUUUCUUUAUGGUAUGGGUGGCGUGAUGACUUAUGAUCGUUGGAUUUUGGUGGAUUGUUCUCAUAAUUUUUUAUAUCUUUUUUUUAUUUCAGUUUUUAUUCUAUUAAUUUUUUAUUUGAUACUUUUAUUUAAAAUUUUAAUCGCUUUCAAUAAAGCUUGUCGGUGGUAAAACACACUCCGAAGCAACCUGUGGUUCAAACUUCAACGACAAAAAUAUGAGCUCUUUCUUUUCUGUUCGUUUCUGUGGUCCACCACCUUUAAUUUCUUUCAUGGCAAGACUUUUCCCCUAUGAGCAAGCAGGUCAAUGACGAAGAAUUGUAGGGUUCUUGGUUAUUUCUUCUGGUCCAGAAGUCUCUGCCGUGUAACAAUCUAUGGGUAGAAAUUAAUGGCAAAGGGAAGAGAUGAAAGAAGAAGGACCUUCAAAAUCCUUCUUUCCUCCCUGCAAUUCCUUCACAAUUAUGUGUUACAUUGAUUUUCUUCGCAUUUGAAGUGAGUUAGAGUACUGGAUGUUAAAUAAUAUUUAUGUAGUCUUAUUUAUUAAGGAUAGAAUAAUACUUUAAGUUUAAUUUAUAUAUAUUUUAAUUGUAUUUAGGUUAUAACUAUACAAUCAUAAUAUACAAAUUAUUCAAAAUUUUAAUAUUUUUUUAUGUGUUUGAUUUUAAUUAUUUCAACACUAAAUUGCUUAAAUAUGAUGAAUAAAGGGUUGGAUUUGUAAAAUUAUUUACACAUUUUCUGCUGUAUCAUCGACGUUCUUCCUUCCUCCAACCAUUUCCAGCACUAACAUACCAAAGCUGUAAACAUCUGAUUUACAGGAAACGUUCCCGAAGUUCCUCGAGAACACUUGUAUCCUUGGAACACAACUUAGCCAUCCCAAAAUCGGCGAUUUUGGGAAUGAUUUAGUUGUCAAGCAGGAUAUUCUGUGGUUUGAUAUCAAAAUGGAGGAUUCUUUGAUCACACCCCUGGUGAAGAUAUUCAAUCCCCUUGGCUAUGCCUAUAGCAAUUAUUCUUUAUAUAUAUAUAUAUAUAUAUAUAUAUAUAUAUAGAGUAAUUGGCUUUUUUUGUUUCAUUGUUUUUAUAUUCAUUUUUUUUUCUUUUUAUACAAUUAUUAUAUUCGUAUUUAAUUUUUAUUUUACUAACAAAUAAGAUCAAUGAGAUAUUUUAAAAAUAUUAUAAAGAUAUUGUUUUAUAAUAUUGACAAACAUUUAUUUUUUAUAUUGAAUCAUUAUUUUUUCCCGUUUUAUUUAUUAUAAAAAUAAAAUAUACUUCCAUAAUAUUUAUAAUUAUUCUAUUAUCAUUGAAUCAUGCUAAAAAUAAUUGGCCCGGGACGGCGCGGCAUCCUAACUAGUCUUAUCUAUAAACCUAUCAUGUUAUGCCACAUACUCAUUUAAAGCUUGAUACAUUGGUCAAUUAUUUUAUACUGAUUGGGACGUUAAAGAGCCGGUCAAUUAUUUUAUAUUUCAGUGUUUUGUGACAUUAGCAAUGAAGUUACUUAUUGUAUUUUAAAAAUAUUUUUAAAAUUUUUAAAAUUUGUUAAAUUUAUUUAUUAAAAAAAUUAAUAUAUUUAGAUUAUUUUAAUAUAUUGAUAUAAAAAAUAAUUUUUAAAAAUUAAAACAAAAUUAUUAUUUUAAAAUAUUUUUAAAUAAAAAUAUUUUAAAAAAUAACUAUAAUUAUACUUUCAAAUAAAUUCUUGCUUUCAUGACGAAGACAUUUCCCCGUGCGCACCCAAGUUAAUAAUGAUGAAGAAUUGUAGGGCUCUGGGUUAUUACGCGUUAACGAGUUGUUGGUGUCCCCAACAUGGGAGAUGCCACCAUAUCUUUUUCUUUUUCUCUUUUAAAGUUGUGAGCGUGAUAACAUGUGAUUAUUGAAUUGUCGCUUAUUAUUUUUUAUAUUUUAUUUUUAAUUUUAUUUUUAUAUUUUAUAUCAACAUUUUAUUUAUUUUCAAAUUUAUUUUUCAAUUAUAUAUUUUUUUAUUUUUUUAUUUCAGUUUUUAUUCUAUUAAUUUUAAAUUUUUUUAUUUGAUACUUUUAUUUGAAACUUUAAUAACUUUUAAUAAAGUUUGUCGGUGGUCAGAGACACUCCGACGCAACCUGUGGUUCAACGACAAAAUAUAUGGUCUUUCUUUCCUAUUCUUUUCCGUGGUCCGCUACCUUUAAUUUCUUUCAUAGUUGAUCUAUCCCCAUGCUCACUCAGGUCCAUAAAGUUUGGCUUUUCCCUUUUUCAUAAAAAUACAUAUUUCAUCUUAGAAAAAGAUAAAAAAUAAAUAAAGCAUGCAUUCGGGGUAUUUUUUUUCCUUUUACGCUGAUCUUUUGUAAUUAUCAUGAUAAUGAGGGAUAUUUAUGUACUUUUACGUUGAAUUUUUGGUUUUUUAAUUAAGACCAUGUUUGUUUCCCGGAAAAUAGUUUCCGGGAAACCAUUUUUUAAAUCUUCUUGUGUUUGUUUGUCAUUAGAAAAGUUGAUCAACGGAAAAUACUUUCUAAUUAAUGGAAAGCACUUUCCAGUCAAAGAAAAAUUUGGCUUGGUUUUUAGAAAAGUGUUUUCCCUUUAACUGUGUUUGUUUUCUGGAAAGUGGUUUCCAGGAAAUCACUUUCCAAACUUUCUUGUGUUUAUUUACCAUUAGGAAAGUUGGUCAAUGAAAAACACUUUUUAGUAAAAGAAAAAUUUGACUUGGUUUUCAGGAAAGUGUUUUCCUGAAAAAUUUGGGCGGAAAACACUUUCCGGAAGUUGUGAAAAAUUUAAAAAUAUCAUUAUUUGCUGAUUAUAUCAAAUUUGAUCCUCAAACUUUUGAUUGCUAUAUAUAUUUUGUUCUGAAUGUUUAUUUUUCAAUUUCAUCUCUUAAAAUUUUAUUUUUAUAUUAACUUUGGUCUUUAUUUUUAUAAUUGUUAUUUGCUUUUUUCUUAUCAUUUUUUUAUUGAAAUUUUUUAUCUAUCAAAUUUGGUCCUCAUUCUUUUGAUUGUUACUUAUUUUAUUUGAAAUAAUUUAUGAAAUAUUGAUUAUUAUUAUUUUAAUUUCUUCAUCUUUCAUUUGUUUUUAAUUUUUUAGAUUUGAUCUCUAUUAUUUUGAUUAUUAUUUAUUUUAUUUGAGAUAAUUUAUAAAAUUAUAUAUUUUUUUCAAUUUUAUUCUCACUCAACUUUUUAAUUUGUAAGAUUUGUUCCUCAUUAUUUUAAUAAACUUGAGAAAAAUAAAAUAUUAAUACGUUAUUUUCCAGCUUAUUUUCCAUGACAUAACCAAACACUGGAAAAUGUUUUCCAACUUAUUUUCCAUUACACUACAAAAUAUCAGAAAAUACUUUCUCGGAAUUCACUUUCCAAAAAAAAACUACUUUCCAGCAAACAAACGAGGCAUAAAGAAAGUUGAUGGUAUGUGUUCAUUAUGCACUAAUAAAUUGAUAGGGUCCGCGCCAUUUUGAAUAACGUGUGUGAUAUUUUUUGGUAGCUAAACUUGACCUUCCAACGUGUCUUUGAAAGUGGCAUCAUGUCCUAUUUUUUAUGGUGUGGCGGGUGAUAACAUAUAGUUGUUAGAUUGUUGUCGAUUGUCCUCUUUGUUAUGUAUUUUAGUUUUAGUUCUUAUUCUUUUGAUUUUUUAUUUCGUUUUUAUUUUUUAUAUAAAUAUUUUAUUUAUUUUCAAUUUAAUAUUUUAAUUAUAAUUUGUUAUAUGUAUUUCUUUUAUUUCAAUCCCUUUUUUUAUUUUUUUAUUUUUUUAUUAAAAUGUUUUUUGAUUUCAAAACUUUUUUUAAGAGCUAAGACAUACUCCGCAGCAAGCCAGCAACCCGUGCUUCAACGACAAAAAUAUGAGCUCUUUUUUUUUUUUUUUGUGUCAUUGGUUCUCGAGCCACAAAACAAAGAAUCUUUGUCCUUAUUGAAGCAUUGGUCCACCACUCUUAAAGUUUUUCACAGCAAGACUUUUCCCGCAUGCACCCUCAGGUUAAAGAUGAAGAAUAUUUGUAGGGUUCUUGGUUAUUCCUUCUUGUCGAGAAGCUUGUGCCUUGUAGCAAUCUAUCACGGUAUUACAAGGAUGAAAGAAGAAGGAUUAAUGCCAACCUUUUCAUCUCGUUGUUGAUCAACAAGGAAGGAACUUGAUAGAAAUAGACCCUUGAGAUUACUAUCCUAUUCAUCAAAAUCCUUCUAUCCUCCCUGCAAUUCCUUCAAAAUUAUGAGUUACAUUGAUUUUCUUCGCAAUUGAAGUAAGUUAGACUGGAUUGCCUAAAUAUGAUUAAUAAAGGGUUGGAUUUGCACAAUUAUUUACACAGUUUAAUUUGUUGAUUUGAUACAUCAUAAACUGUGAAUUGACAGAAAAGAAGAAGAAGCUAUCUCACAGGUCACAACAAUUUCCUUCAUUAUUGCUCACUAAUAUGUUAUUACUGAAAAGAGUAAAUUUCAGAUCACUCUAUUUCUGAGAUGGCUGCCAACUCUUGGUGAAGACGUCUCGCUGGCAUGCGGCCUGCGCUGGUUCUCUUAGAGACAGAGGAGCUAAAAGGAUCAGGAGGCUUUGUUAAGUUUUCUCCUUCCCCUUCAAGCAUCUGGACAACAGUUUUCAUGGAAGGACGCUCUGCUGGGUUCCACUGAAUGCACCAUAGCCCCACAAUUGCUAGUUUCUUCGCAAUUCUAGCAUCUUCUUCUCCAUCGAUAUGAAACCGCAGGUCUUCUUCCUUUUCUAAGAGAUUAUAAAUCCAUUCCGGGAAGUAUAUCUGGUCGCCAUUUUCUGCUGUAUCAUCGACGUUCUUCCUUCCUCCAACCAUUUCCAACACUAACAUGCCAAAGCUGUAAACAUCUGAUUUAUAGGAAACACUCCCGAAGUUCCUCGAGAACACUUCUGGGGCAAUGUAGCCAACAGUCCCCCUAGCAGUCGUCAUGGAAAUAGCACUUUUAUCCUUGGAACACAACUUAGCCAUCCCAAAAUCGGCGAUUUUGGGAUUGAAUUCGUUGUCAAGCAGGAUAUUCUGUGGUUUGAUAUCAAAAUGGAGGAUUCUUUGAUCGCACCCCUGGUGAAGAUAUUCAAUCCCCUUGGCUAUGCCUAGAGCAACACGAUUCAACCUUUCCCAGCCAAGGAAAUGGUUCCUUGAGUCUGCUGAGGUUAUGAACUUCUGUAAUGAACCAUUUGGCAAGUACUCAUAAACCAGAGCUCGUCUAAAUCCAUCAGCACAGAAACCGAUCAAGCGAACAACAUUGACAUGGUGGAUCCUUGCCAUUGUUCCCACUUCAUUGAUGAAUUCCUCCCCUUUUCCUAUGGAAUUAUUGAGGAGCUUCACAGCUACAGCAAUUUCAUUGGUCAGCUUUCCUUUGAACACGGUUCCAUAAGCUCCUUGGCCCAAUUCAUCACUGAAUUGAUUUGUGAUCCUCUUGAGAUCAGCGUAGGAGUACCUAGUGGGAUUCAGUGAUCUGUAAUCAUCCAAAAACAUUUCAACCCUGGCUUGAUAUUCUCUUUGUGUUUUAUCGUUGCUAUAGGCGCGGUAGAGUGCAGUAAUCACUAUAGCAAAAAGGAAGAAUCCUAAAAUCACACCUGCAUAUCAACAUUCUGAGUCAGGAAACUCUGUUUUUUGGGAAGUGAUGUAUUGAACCAAGUGUAAAAUUGAGAUGGAGAUUUGAGCAGACUACUAACCAGUAAUCAGUAGCUUUCGCCGCACAUCUGUAAGGGAUUGAAUACUUAUUAGCUUCUCCCUUUGAUGCAAUUGGUAAAAUCAUGAAAGCAACAAAGACGAAAAGAGUUUAAUUUGAAAAAAAGGAAGAAAGAUAGAAAGGCGUACCUUUAGUGUGCUGAAGGUAGCAUUCAGUUUCAGAAGAUCCACAAGUUAGAUUGGACCAAGACAUAGUAAGAACAUAAUUUUCUGCAUGCAACAUACUAUGUGGAAUUCCAUAAAUGUUGUACAUCUUGGUACAAGAUAACAAAUCAGUGUCACUGAUGGUGGUACUUGAUUCAACGGCAUAAACUUCAUGGUUAAAAGCACUCAGACAUGGGAUUUUAUGUGUGAGCCCAGACCUUUUCUCAUUAGAAGAACAGUUGAACAAGGUCCCAUCAUACAGCCAAUCGUUCUUAAUUUGGAAGUGAGAAGCCCCUAAACUGAGGUUUAAACGUUGCCUUAGAAAGCAACCUUGAGGAUCCCUUGCAUAAAUAAGUCGAUGUCUAUAGUCAAUUCUUUCGACGUGGAGACUCAAUCCAGUUGGCAGCUUAAGCAGUGUGUUGUUGUCCUCCGAGCAGGAUAGAUCAAAACCACAGUGGUCUGGUUGUUUGUCCAUGAUGCGGAAAGGAAAUCGGAUGUUAGGGCCACGGUUUCCACAUGAUCCUGUGCAGUUCAAGCUUGCUCCAUGGCCUGCAAGGAAGACAAUGAAAAAGAAGAACAAACACGUAACCAUUUCUGAUGAAUAAUUCAUCAUCUCCACACUCCACCUAAGAUUUUAUCUGCAUGUGCUGAUAUAGUUUUGGCCUUUCAGAAAACUCAUGGAGUCCUUAGAUGGGCGAGUCCUUCACACUAGUACACGCAUCCCUUCGACACUAAAAAAAAUUAAAAAAGAGUACUGUCUGGUUCAGGUAAUUUUGGGCGGUUUUUAUGAUUAAUUUGCUCAUCCCUAAUGAUAGUAAUAAUCUCUCUAUUUACAUAGUAUUCACAAUGCAUAUGGUAACAUGUUGGAAACCUAGAAUUAGCAGAAAAAUAGAUUCUAUCAAGUGAAUUUUAAUUACAUGGUCGCACUCUUAACGCUUAAUGCCAGAAGGGACUAGGGGUUGUGAUGGAUGCGAGAUUCUCAACAAGAAAUAACGAAGAAGCGUAUAAAUCUUCGUCAUUGACUCCAGGGUGGCUGAGGGCAAAAGUCUUGCUAUGUGAAACUUCGAGUGACAGACCAAUGUUUCAAUCAUUGACUUAAGUGUCAGUACAAUUUGUCCACACACUAUUUGAGAAGGAAAGUAAAGGGCUCUCUGUCCUGUUGUGUUGCUUGAGAUACAAUGAAUCAAGAAAGAAAAGGUCCAUAUUUUUGUCAGUAGCUUCCACUACGAAAUUCAAUAGUUUGUGCAAAAAUUAUGUAUACACUGUGUAUCACUUCAGCCUUCCCCAUGUUUAGAGGAAUGAACGUCCUUUUUGCUUGCUACAUAGCUUUUCUUUUACAGCUAUUAGUCUUCCAAACUUGCCAUUCUAGCACCAUCACUGCUCAUUGUGCUCCUUCUUCAUGCGGCAAUAUCCAAAACAUAAGCUUCCCUUUCAGACUAAACACUGAUCCACAAAGCUGCGGAAACUAUAAUUAUACUCUGAUUUGCGAGAACAAUAUUUCUACAGUAUUAUAUUUGUAUUCAGGUAAAUACUACGUGCAGGCAAUCGACUACGGCAACUUCACAAUCCGAGUGGUAGAUGCUGGUGUACAAGAUAAUUGCUGCUCCAUCCCUCGUUAUUCUUUGGCAUUUGAUAACUUCAGUGACGGAGAUCCAUACACAUCGUAUAACUACAAGCAGGUGCCGCCGCCGGGAGUGAGUGAGGGUUUCGUGUACUAUUGGGACCCUUACUUACCUCCACUAUCACAGCCUAUGAUUUUCAUGAGCUGUGAAAAUACGGUGAAUUCUCCUCUCUAUGUGGACACGGCUCCCUACGGCCUUAACUAUGGAUCAGUAAAUUAUUCGAAUUAUGUGACUCUUGGUAGCAUGACUGCCUCGGAUUUGAUGGAACUGUGCAGCAUAGAGAAAAUAUUUUUGCUUCCAAAGAAGAGCUACACAGACAAUUACUCCUUUGAAGAAAUACACAGUGACCUGGCAUAUGGGUUUGAGCUUUCAUGGUACAACAUAAACUGUGGAAAAUGCAGAAGUGGUUGCUACCUCGACAGUGCAGACCGUCGUUGGUGCUUUGGUAUGUAACACUUGAUGAUUAAGUUGCAUCACUUUGAUUCAUAAGACCAUAUAUAACUUGUGAUUUGAGGUGGUUUCAUAUAUUUUCUCUGGCUUACUUUUCAAUUUUCAUUUUUUUCUGCGCAUUAGCACAAUAUUGCACUGUCCCCAGAUCGAUGUUCAUGUACAAAUUCUGUGCAUCCAUUACCUGUGAAUUCUACUAUAGUGGACUGAUCAUGAGAUUCAUUCAUGUUAAUAUUGUAAAAUAUUCUGACUAUAAUGUGGUUUAAGGUAGUUGGACAGAUUCAUUGGUCUUUUGCAAUUUCAGGAUUGACACAGUGAACCGUUUGGUUCAUCUUAACUUGACCAUGGAUACACAUUAAUUAGUUCAAGUCACAUUAUUAAUUAAAUUGUGUGUGCUCUUAUCUAUUUUCUUUAGCAUUUACUGUUGCGUAUACCAUUAGAACUCGUUUUUAAACCUAAAUUCUCGACAGAUUUUGGUGAAAGCUACUGGGAAAGACUACUCUACGCAGUGAUAGGUGCGAAUUCUCUUUCUGCAUCUCACCUUGUUUGUGUAUUCUUAAGUGUUUCUUCAAACGACUUAUUUGUGAAAUAAGGAUUGUUGUUUCUUGAAUAGUAAUUGUAAUUUUGUUCACCAUUUUCUGCAGCUCCCUCUCUAUAUAUCCAUUUUAUUUGGUAAGAGAUUCCAUCAUUUCUUUAGUUUCGCAACAAAUUUCUAGUGGAGACAACAAAUAAGAUCACAAAACUUGAUUGUUUUCUGGAAAUUUCCUACACAGCACUGCUUCAUGGGCCAAAAGUUGUUUGUGGGACUCCAUGUGUGAUUAUAUUUUUGAUCUACAAAUGCGAAGGAGACAUUUAUCAGCAUACGAUAAAGUUGAACAAUUCCUACAGGGUCAGAAUAACCUAUGCCAGUAAGGUAUUCCUACUCAGAUAUCAAGAAGAUUACUAGAGGUUUCAAGGAGAAAUUAGGUGAAGGAGGCUUUGGUACAGUUUACAAAGGAAAGCUUCGCAGUGGGCGUUUUGCAGCAGUAAAAUUGUUGGGAAAAUCAAAAGCUAAUGGACAGGAUUUCAUAAAUGAAGUUGCUACCAUAGGAAGGAUUCACCAUACUAACGUGGUGCAGCUAAUUGGUUUUUGCGCUGAAGGAUCAAAGCGAGCUCUUGUAUAUGAUUUCAUGGCUAAUGGAUCUCUUGAUAGACACUUUUUCUCGAGAAGGAUCAAUCUCUUUAAGCUGGCAAAAACUGCAUCAGAUUUCCCUUGGAGUGGCUCGUGGUAUCGACUAUCUUCAUUUAGGCUGUGACAUGCAAAUACUUCAUUUUGAUAUCAAACCUCACAACAUUCUUCUCGACGAAAAUUUCACUCCAAAAGUCUCUGACUUCGGGCUCGCUAGGUUGUACCCAACGAAUGGCAGCAUAACAUCUCUUACUGCAGCAAGGGGCACCAUAGGAUACAUGGCUCCUGAAUUGUUCUACAAAAACAUUGGACGUGUCUCCUAUAAAGCUGAUGUUUAUAGCUUCGGAAUGCUGCUAUUGGAAAUGGCAGGCAAAAGGAAGAAUGUAAACGCAUUGGCAGAAAAUUCAAGUCAAAUCUACUGGCCAUAUUGGGUUCAUGACCAAGUAUCUGAUGGAAAGGCCAUAGAAAUCGGAGACGAUGCCACGGAGGAAGAACGUAAGAUCGUCAAGAAGAUGAUUAUGGUUGGAUUGUGGUGUAUACAAAUGAAACCCAUGGAUCGGCCUACAAUGAAGAAUGUUGUGGAGAUGCUUGAAGGAGAUUUGGAAAACUUGCAAUUGCCUCCUAAGCCUGUCUUCAAUCUAGAUGUGACGCCACCAAACAUUGAAGGAGAGUCAUCAUCGUUGUCAGGUGAUUCUACCGAAUCAACCAGUGUUGUUGAAAAUGCAUACUAAGUGAUAUGAUGUGGAAUGCUCUGCUUACAUGCAGGGAAAAUGCUAGAAUAAUGGUGCUUUCGGACUUGGUUAUGAUAAUUUAGUCUGCAAACAUUAUGAUAAUUUGCAAUACUUGCUUUUAUCUGAUCUGUGUUUAGCUAAUUUAGAGUUCAAGCUGCAGCUUGUUUCUUCGGUUUGGUCUAUAUAAUGAUCAUACAAAGAUGUUCUGUAUUGUGUUUAACUAUCAGAUUUCCACUAUCUAUGGCAAUCAUAGCAGUUAGCGAGGAUGGUACAUCCUCCAUGAUAACUGCUACAUGUUCUACAUAUUAAUUAUCGUAUUUGUCUCCAGCAAGAGUAAUAUUUUGGCUACAAAUCAACAAGAGACUGUCAUAGGCAUUAUAUAAACAAGUUGAUGCAUGAAAAGACGAGUCUCUAUUUAUAGGUAGCCACUACAAGUAACUUCGGAGACCACAAAUACAAGGCAAGUCUCUCUAGUAAUCCUUCCACUACAAGUAGCUUCGGAGAUAGAAAAUAGCGAUUUAUUUGCUGUCAUAGGGAUGAUUCUGAACAGAGGGGCUUAAUUUGAUUUUCUUCCACCAACAAUGCCUUCUUGUCAAUGUUCAGCCCCAUGAUAAUCGAUCUAGCGUCACCAUUUGCACAUUACCAUAUCUUGCAUAAGCCACGAGGAACCAAACACAACAAAACCGGAUUGAAAACCAUGACCAUAACGGGUGCUGUGAAAUGAAUAUUGAAACAGAUGGGUGAAUUUGAUGCAGAAAAGUAGAGAGGAGACAAUGAAGCUUGCUUACCGGUCAUGGCAUUUCACCAGGGAGCUCUGCUUCUUCAAAAAUGCUCAACUGUGUUCAACAACCUUUCAGGAUCUGCUUCAAUUUUCUUAAGAGAAUGGGAAAUAGUGAACGGGAUCCUCGUUAGCUGCGGGCAAUCACCCACAGUAAUUUUCUCAAGAGAAAUGCAUAGAAGACUUCCAGAAUAAAUGCUAUUCAAAUUAUGACAUUUGUUCUACGAGAUAUUCCCACUUUCUCAGGAUGAAAAUCAUCCCACAAAUCAUCAAGAAAGAUAACAUGGUUUUGUAUCGCACUCAAUGCUGUCCUUAGCUCCCCAGCUGUACUCAUCACAUCUUUUCCUUUCGGAAGACAUAAACCAAAAGCUUCGGCAAUGACAUCCUGCAAUGCAUGAAUGCUAAAUUCUUGUGACAUUGUUGUGACAAACAUGAAAAAAAAUGUCUGGUUUCUCUUGAAGCUGGUUAUGGAUAUGUGCAGCCAAAGUUGUCUUUCCCACUCCCCCAUCCCGUAAAUGCUAAUGCAUGAGACCUCACCACUCAACAACCAAGACCAGACAUCCUUCAUAUUUCUUUCAAUAGCUUGGCCCACUAGCUUCGUUGGAUUGUGGUGUAUACAAAUGAAACCCAUGGAUCGGCCUACAAUGAAGAAUGUUGUGGAGAUGCUUGAAGGAGAUUUGGAAAACUUGCAAUUGCCUCCUAGGCCUGUCUUCAAUCUUGAUGUGACGCCACCAAACAUUGAAGGAGAGUCAUCAUCGUUGUCAGGUGAUUAUACCGAAUCAACCAGUUUGGUUGAAAAUGCAUACUGAGUGAUAUGAUGUUGAAUGCUCUGCUUACAUGCAGGGAAAAUGAUAGAAUAAUAGCGCUUUCGGACGUGGUUAUGAUCGUUUAGUCUGCAAACAUUAUGAUAAUUUGCAGUCCUUGCUUUUAUCUGAUUUGUGUUUAGCUAAUUUAGAGUUCAAGCUGCGGCUUGUUUCUUCGGUGUGGUCUAUAUAAUAAUCAUACAAAGAUGUUCUGUAUUGUGUUUAACAAUCAGAUUACUGUUACAAAAGUAUGAAGUAUAAAGUAUUAUCCUUAUUCUGUUAUUUAGGCUGACUAGCAGCCCCUUCCCCUUAUACUAAUAUUAUUUAACUCAAGACUUUUUAAAUUCUCUAGAUUGUCAUCAAUUAGGGUUGUUGAUGGUGGUUGAUUGUUGAACUGCUGAGAAAAAAAAACUAAGAGAGGCUAGGGUAAAUGCUGUAUGUGGCAAGUGGUUAGUGUUGAGAGAGACAAAGAACAUUUAUCUUUACACUAACACUCAUCUCUCCGGAACACAAAAGGGACUUGCCUCUUUAUUUGGAGGACGCUAAAGAACAUUGAGAGAACCCUUAUUUUUACACUACACACAACGUGCAAAACACCUCUUUCAUCUUCUUCAUCUUUUUACCUACUUAUUUAUUUAGAAAUCAAACUAAAAAAACUAACUUGAGCAUUAAUAGAGGACUUCCAAAAUGAAAUAGUUGGGGACUAGAUAAUUGGCUUGCAAUUAUUUAAACAUUGCUAAUGCUUUUUUUAGUUACAUUUUAAACUAUGUGAGGUUGACUUGAGAUGAGCUGAUCUACUUGAUAGGUCUAAAAACAACUUAGACGGUUAAUAAAAAUAUAAUUUAACUCAAAAUAAAUAUUCAAGAUGAUUUAUUAAGAUAUCGAUAUAUUGGAUUGGUUUUGGUCAAUUUAAAUUAACAUGUUUAUCUGGUCAUGAGACCAUAAUAACUUCAUAGAAAGAAAAUCAAAACAAAUUAUGAAGUGUAAGUUCCAAUAAAUUCAAUGUUAAAUAAUAAAAUUAAAAAUUAAAUGAAUAAUAAAAAAAAAAAUUGAAAAAUUCAUCGGGGAGGAUGCGCUUUCUCUAAAAAAAAGAAUGAAUUUCAAACAGAUCAAAAGAAUGCGCUUUCUGUCAAGAAGUAUAAAACAUAUUGAAAUUUUAUCUCUACAAUAAUAGAACUUGAUGCAAGAGGAAGGAAAUGACAGGAGUAAAGCAAGAUGAGAAAGCGAAAUGAAGUCUCUCAACCCCUAUUUAUAUAGGAGGCCAAUGGGUGCGAAAUUAAUUUGAAUUAAUUCCUAACAAUUCAUUGUAAUCGCAGAAUCAAUGAAUUUGAAAAGAUUUAAUGAAACUAAUCAAACAUUAAAGAAAUAAUUUAAUAGAUAUAAUAAAAAUAGUUGUAUCAAUUUUUUAUUCGUCCAUGAUUGAUUUUAAACAUGUUAACAUUCAAGAUAUACAAAGAUGUAAAUAAAUUGAUUGAUCACUAAAUUAGUACAAGUAGAUUUUGGUUUUGGACAUUUUAUAAUAAAAUAAUAUCAAAUUUAUUUGGCUAAUUAAUGAUUUCAAUGUUUUAAACUAAUCCACUUUUCAUCUAUGUCAUAAUUUAAUUUUUGAUUUUUAUCUUUAUAAAAUAAAAAAAAUGAAGUGGGAAAAUUGGAAUGAAUGAAGAAAAAUUAAGAUUUAGAUCAAAACAAUACAAAUGAGAAGUUUUUGAGUAUCAAUCAGGGAGGAAUUGUAAAUUUGGGGUUUAAUUUUGCUUGAAAUUGAAAGAAUUGAUGAGUUUGAAGACUUAAUUAAGCUUAAAAUUAGUUUAAUUAACAAAAUCAUUAGCUUAAUUGAAGAAAUAUUAAAAAUAACUGAUUUAGGUCUAAAUUGCAAGAAAUAAAGUCCAAGGACCGUUGUGCAAAAGGCACCGCAAUGCAGGGGUCUACUUAAAAUUUAGCCCAGGGGUCCGUUUGAAACAUGUUAAAACCUCGAGGACUAAAUUGAAAAAUGGCCGCCCCAAUCUAGAAACGGCGCUGUUUUUCAAUUCCAUUCAUCGUCUUCUUCCUCUGGAAGCAGAGGAGACCCCCUGCAAAGGAAAAUAUCAAUCGCCGCACACAUGCCAAAUUCAAGACCGCGUUGUCUACCCACGGAACCCAUGGCAUUUGGUUGGUCUCCCUCACCCUCAUAACUCUCCCCUGACGCGAGGAUAAGCACCACCAAGAAUCCAGCAACGGCAGGACUGUUGGUGUUUCCAUUCUACCCAAACACGGAGCCAAUUCACUCUACACAAGAUGACGAUCCCAGGGAAUAUAAGGAUAAGAAUCCCUCUCAAGGUCUGACUCUAUAAAAGUGGGAGAGAAGGAAGAACAGGGGAUCGAAAAAGAGAGACGAUACAGAGAUAAAAACCAAAAAAUAAAAUAAAAAGAAUAGAGAGCAGAAGGGAGGAGAGGACUAGGUCUUGAGAAAGCAAAAACAUAAAGACAAAAAAGAGAAGCCGGGGAAAAGAAAGGGCGUCCGAGGAGUGCUUCAUCCAGCACCUGCAUUUUGCCGCUCAAGGUCGCUGCAAAAACAGGCAAGUCACUUUCAAUUCUCCCUCUCUCUGCAAUUUAAUUACUCUGAUUCUCUCUGCAAUUUAGUCACUUUGAAUUCUCUGAACAGUUCACGCACGCAUGCAAGUAAAAAAAAAGAGAGGAAAGAAAAGGGAGCCGGGUUACUGAUUUAGCUACGUCUGGCAUAGCCUGUACGGCUGGGUCUGAUCCCAGACCUAAUCAGUCCAAACUUUUUUUGCUAAGGGUAUAUUUGAUAAAAUAGACUCUCAUGCCUUGUUCAUGUAUUUUCAUUCCCCUUUUAUUUUGAGAGGCAUAGAAAAUUUAUUUCUUCUUAUUAAAAAUUUAAAAUUUUGUGAAUUUAUUUAGUGAUAUCAAAGACAGGAAUAUUAUAUUUUUUUGGAUUGUAUAAUAUUUAUAAAUAUCAGAGUUGAAAAUAUUCGUAGUUACUAUUUAUUGACGGUAGAGUCAGGAACAUAAUAUGAAAAAUUAAAAAAAAAAACAAAUUUUUAUCAAUUUUAAACAAAGCUAGCAAUACAACCUGUAUUAGGUAUAACGUUCAAGGAAUGAUAGUAUCUUUUAUUUGACAUAACCAAUUUCCUAUCAUAGAAUUUUUAUUGAUUAGUUAGAGUUUUUAAUAAUCAUAAUACUUAGUGGUAAUUAUUUAAACAUAGAUUUUUUUCUUUAAAAAAUAAGAUGCCAUAUACAUGUUUUUUUCAUUGAAAAUUUUUAUUGAUGGACGGCAAAAGUCAAGAGUGACAAUAUAAAUCAAAACAAUAUAAUACUUACAUAGUUACCUUUCUGUAAAAAGUAUUGAAUAUUAAUAUUAAUUUUUUUUAAUCAUGUUUCGAAGGCAAGUGUGCAAGCUUUACAUGUGAUAGCAAUCUCAAUGACUUCACUGCUACAUGCCUUCAUUAUCCUUGUAUUUGUUUUAGGUAAUAGAGGCAGUCGGCCUCUCCAUCAAUCUCUCUGUAUUUAUUGUAUCAGAUAAGAUAUUCCUGUUUUAGGAAUUUGUUUCUGUCAGAUUAUAUGUAUUAUUUUUGAAUUCCUUGUAACUUGAUAUCGAUGAAUGAAUGAAAGAAGAAUGUGGCCUUUACUCGAUCUAUUCUUCGUCCUGUUCUCAUCACAUGGUAUCAAAGCAAUUAAAUUUGCUGCUGCUGUUCUUCUCUAGGCACAACAACCAUGACAACAGACAACAACACUCUGCUUCCCUUCAUCAUCCAGAUUAUAGUCAAAAUGAUCAACUUCCUCCUCGUCUCUAUCUUGGCCACUGCCAAAUUUGUAGGAUUUAGGGACAUAACUAAAACCAAGAAGUGUCCAUCAUUUCGUUUUGUUUCAGUGCAGACACCCACCACCACAAAUGCUCCAAUGAUCACCUCUCCAACACCAUGGCAUCCUAGCUCGGGCACACUUCGCUGUCAACACCUCUUCUAUCACUCCAACGUUGCUGCUGGAAAAUGGUGCUUCUGAUCAUGUCAUUGCCGACUUAAGCAUUUUAUCAUUUCAUGCGUCCUACGAUGGUUUUGACGAAAUCAUGAUCGAUGAUUUUGUUGGGUUAUUUCCAGAACUCAAACACGCACAAUUUACGUGGUUCGGCAACUUGCCUACUCCACGGAGUUACUGGUUGUAUUAAUCAAGCUUACAAAGAAACAAUACAACAACAAGAGGAGGAGAAUCUUCUCAACUCAACUCUACACUCAAGCUCUCUCUCUGUGUUUCUCUCUUUCUCUUCUUCUCACUGUGUUCUUCGUGCUCUCUCAGUUCUUCACAUACACACACACACACACACACAGCUAUACAUAUACAAAUAAUGGGAGUGGGGGGUGUCCUCCACCAUGUGCUAAGUGGGAGAUUAUUCCCACUAGCACAUGGUGGGGCAAUUGUUGUCUCCAUAAUGCUAACAAUCUCCCACUUGGAGACAAACAAUGAAAUCCUUUUUUAUCCUUGAAGGCCAACUGAAGUUUUGCACAACUUCAGUUUCUCAAGUGUAACUCCUUUGGUUAACAUGUCAGCUGGAUUCUUGCUUCCACAGAUCUUUUCUAGCAUUAGUUGCUCGUCGUCCAGCAGUUGUCGGAUGAAGUGAUAUUUGAUCUGAAUAUGCUUCGUCCUGGAGUGAAAUGCUGGAUUCUUGGCAAGGAAGAUUGCACUCUGACUGUCGCUAUACAAAGUACCUUUUCCAUUCAACUUGCCCAAUUCUUUCAAGAAACUCUGCAACCAUACUAUCUCUUUUGCAAAUUCUGAGACUGCAACAUAUUCAGCUUCUGUUGUUGAAAGAGCAACGAUCUUUUGCAAGGUAGAACUCCAGGAAACAGCAGUACCUCCUAGAGUAUAAACAUAUCCUGUAGUGCUCUUUCUGCUAUCAACAUCUCCUGCUAGAUCAGCAUCUACAAAACCUUCAAGUUUCAAACCACCAGCUGUGAAACUGAGACAAGUUUCCGAUGAACCUUUUAAGUACCUCAUGAUCCAUUUCACCGCCUCCCAAUGCUGCUUUCCAGGAUUGCUCAUAUAUCGGCUUACAACUCCCACUGCAUGGGCAAUGUCUGGUCUGGUACAGACCAUAGCAUACAUCAAAGAGCCGAUAGCUGAGGCGUAUGGAAUCUUAUCCAUGUAUCCACUUUCUAGCUCAGUUUUUGGUGACUGAUCUUUGCUGAGCUUGAAAUGAUUCCCCAGUGGUGUACUUACUGGUUUAGCAUUAUCCAUACUAAACCUGCUGAGAACCUUCUUGACAUACUCUGUUUGUGAGAGCUUUAGUAUGCCUUUGUCUUUAUCUCUGAUGAUUCUCAUGCCAAGUAUUUGUUUAGCAGCUCCCAGAUCCUUCAUUUCAAACUGUUUCGACAACUGCUGUUUCAGCUUAUCAAUCUCCUCAAUGCUGGAUCCUGCAAUCAACAUAUCAUCUACAUAUAAUAGUAGAAUGAUGUAGGAGUUGUCAAAAUGUUUGACAUAGCAACAAUGAUCAGCUUGGCAUCUUGUAUACCCGGAACUGCACAUGAAGUUGUCAAACUUCUUGUACCACUGUCUUGGAGCUUGCUUCAAACCGUAUAGGCUUUUCUGUAGCUUGCAGACUUGAUUCUCCUUUCCUUGCAUUGCAAACCCCUCUGGCUGUUGCAUGUAAAUAUCUUCCUCCAAGUCACCAUGAAGGAAUGCUGUUUUUACAUCUAACUGUUCAAGAUGUAAAUUUUCUGCAGCUACUAUCCCCAGAACAACUCUGAUUGUUGUGAGCUUCACAACUGGAGAAAAAAUCUCAGAGUAGUCAAUGCCUUUCUUCUGUUGAAACCCUUUGACAACAAGUCUUGCCUUGAACCGUUUGCUUCCGUCAUGCUCAGUCUUCACUCUGUAAACCCACUUAUUUUGCAAGGCCUUCUUUCCUUCAGGUAAUGUUGUUAGCUCCCAAGUCUUGUUCUUCAACAACGAACUCAUCUCAUCCUUCAUGGCUAACUCCCACUUGCUUGAGUUUCCAUCUUGUAAGGAUUCUUCAUAAGAUAACGGUUCACCACCAUCUGUCAGCAAAAUAUAAUUCAGUAAAAGUGUGAACCGUUGCGGGGGCUUUAUCGUCCUCGAAGACCUGCGAACAGCUGGUUCAAGUUGCUCCGCAUCUUCUUGUGUGGAAGUGGGCACAGAUGUGCUUGAAUCUUCUUGUAAAGACUCUUGAUUGUUGUUCUGCUUAGUAACAUCGGGAAGCCCUUCUAAUCUUAUGAAUUCAGAUCUUUGUGGACUUGUAUCUGAAUCAGCCAUCUCUGUUUCUCCACUUGAUCUGUCUUUGUACAUAACUUUCUCAUUGAAGAUCACGUUCCUGCUUCUGAUAAUCUUUCUAUUCUGAUCAUCCCAGAACCGAAAUCCAAAUUCUUCAUCUCCAUAGCCAAUGAAGAAACAUUUCUUGGAUUUGGCAUCUAACUUGUUGCGAGCAUCAGAAUCUAUGUGAACAUAGGAAACACACCCAAAGACCUUCAAAUGAGAGAGUCGUACCUCUUUUCCUCUCCAUACUUCCUCGGGCAAUCUGAAUUCCAAAGGAACUGAUGGUCCACGGUUGAUCAAGUAAACUGCGGUAUGAACUGCGUCAGCCCAGAAUGUUUGAGGUAACCCUGAAUGCAACCUCAUGCUUCUAGCUCGUUCAUUGAUGGUCCUGUUCAUCCGUUCAGCAACGCCAUUCUGUUGCGGUGUGCCUGGAACGGUCUUUUCCAUUCUGAUACCAUUGACAGCACAAUACUCCUUGAAACCUCCAUCAAUGUAUUCUCCUCCAUUAUCAGAUCUCAAGCAUUUCAACUUUAGACCUGAUUCAGUCUCAACCAUAGCCUUCCAUUUCUUGAAUGUUUCAAACACAUCAGAUUUAUUUUUCAGAAAGUAACCCAUACCUUCCUGCUGAAGUCAUCAAUGAAAGUCACAUAAUACCGAGAACCUCCAAGAGAUGCUACUGGAGACGGUCCCCAUAAAUCUGUGUGUACCAGUUCUAGCUUUCUUGGUCUUAAGGUCCUGCCAACCUUCAAGAAACUGACCUUCUUCUGUUUUCCAAGAACACAGCUUUCACAAAUGUCUAGAUCGACAUUUUUUAACUCUGGCAGCUUUCCCUUCGACUGAAGUAUCUUCAUCCCCUUUUGACUCAUAUGGCCAAGUCUACAAUGCCAUAGCUGUGCUUGAUUUUCUGCUUCAGUUGAGGCAAUGAUGUCUGCAAAUCUUGUGGUCAUAUACAGGGUGCCGGUUUUCUUUCCACGAGCUAAAACCAUUGCUCCCUUUGAUACUUUCCACAUUCCUCCAGCAAAAAGUAUUGAAUGACCACUAUCAUCAAGUUGUCCGACAGAGAUCAACUUCUUCUUUAAUUCAGGAACAUGCCUUACAUUCUGCAAGGUCCAUAUAGAUCCAUUCAUUGUCUUGAUUUGCACAUCUCCUAUACCCACAAUAUUCAGUGGUGUUCCAUCGGCCAGAUAGACUACACCAUGAUCUCCUCCAACAUAAUUUUGCAGCAUUUCAUUGUGUGGCGUACAGUGGAAUGAAGCACCAGAAUCAAGAAUCCACUCAUCAAUUUGACUUUGUACAGCAAGAAUUAAAGCAUCUUGUACCUCAUCUGUGGUAGCGUUUGCAGAGUCAGCUUCAGGUUUCUUCGGUUUUGUGCAAUUCCUACUGAAAUGACCAGGUUUGCCACAAUUCCAACAUUCAACCUGCUUUCUGGAUCCAAACUUGCUUUUACUUCUGUAUCUGGAUUUUGAUCUGCCUCUGGAUGAGCCUCUAUCGUGUCUCCUCCCUCGAGUGUUGAUGUUGAGAGCUGAUCCUGAGCUUGAACUUUCACCCGAGUCUUUCCUUCGCACUUCUUCAGCCAAAAUCAAGUCUCGAAUGUCAUCAUACUUCAGUUUGGAUUUUCCAGCUGAAUUGCUCACGGCUGUCCUCAUGCCUUCCCAACUGCUUGGAAGUGAAGCUAGCAAGAUGAGUGCACGAAUCUCAUCAUCAAACUCAAUCGCAACAGAUGAUAAUUGAUUUGUGAUGGUAUUAAAGUUGUUGAGGUGUUGUGUCACAGAAGUUUUCGACCAUCUUCAAGUUGAACAACUUUUUCAUCAGGUGCACUUUAUUAUUUGCUGAUGGCUUCUCAUACAUCCCAGACAAGGCUUCCAUCAAUUUUGCAGUGGAUUUUUCUUUCGUAACAUUGUGAGCAACUCUUCUUGAUAACGAUAGCCGGAUAAUGCCCAGAACUUGUCUAUCAAGAAGUUGCCAUUCUUCUUCUUCCAUCUUUUCUGGUUUGCUUCCCAAUAAGGGAAGAUGAAGUUUCUUCCCAUAUAAAUAAUCUUCAAUUUGCAUUUUCCAGUAUCCAAAAUCUGUUCCGUCAAAUUUUUCAAUUCCAGCAGCCUUUAUUUCAUCUGCCAUUUUUACUUCUCCGAUUCGAAUUUCCCAAAUCUGACCUUACAGAUGUGUCCAGAACGGCCAAAAACCUUGGAAAUGACACUGAGAUCACCCCAAUCGGACUUCGGAUGGCUCAGAUUUUAGCAAUCAAAGUUUUGGAUUAACGGACGGUGCAGAUGCAGCCGCGUGUCAGCCAGAGUACCGCCUGCGUCACACCGGAUAAAAACUCAGUAGCGGUUCUGAUGAAGACACGUGUCAGCAGAUUACAGCCUGCGUCGCACCGGAUCAAAACUCAGUAACGGUGCAGAUUAAGCCACGUGUCCGCAGAUUAGAGCCUGCGUCACACCUGAUCAAACUCAGUAACGGUGCAGAUUCAGCCACGUGUCACAAGAUUAGAGCCUGAGUCGCACCGGAUCAAAACUCAGAAGCGGUCUAGAUUCAGCCACGUGUCAGCUGAUUAGCUCCUGCGUCGCACCAGAUUAAAACCCCUCAACGGUGAUGAUGUAGCCACGUGUCACACGAUUACCGUUUGCGGUGCACUGGAUCAAAACCCAGGUGGAUGACAUGUCAGGUGACGUGGACGUUGACCGUGCGACUUGCUGACGUGGCGGGUCAGACCCGACCCGUUUUGCAGAAACCGGGCGAAGAAGAAGCGUGGCGCGCGUGCGGCGCGUUGGUGCGCGUGGGCAGUGCUAGCGUCGGCGCGUGCGGGCAUGCAGGACGUCGAUUCUUCGCCGGGGUUUCAACAGUGGAUUCGUCCGGUUGUCCUCUACACGAUGGUAUGUUCAAAAACACAUUUUGAGAACUUUGAUUUUUGAGUUUGGAUCAAACACCCUCUUUGUCAAGAACAAGCUCUGAUACCAGUUGUUGGGUUAUUUCCAGAACUCAAACACGCACAAUUUACGUGGUUCGGCAACUUGCCUACUCCACGGAGCUACUGGUUGUAUUAAUCAAGCUUACAAAGAAACAAUACAACAACAAGAGGAGGAGAAUCUUCUCAACUCAACUCUACACUCAAGCUCUCUCUCUGUGUUUCUCUCUUUCUCUUCUUCUCACUGUGUUCUUCGUGCUCUCUGUGUUCUUCAUACAUAACACAGCACACACACACACAACUAUACAUAUACAAAUAAUGGGAGUGGGGGGUGUCCUCCACCAUGUGCUAAGUGGGAGAUUAUUCCCACUAGCACAUGGUGGGGCAAUUGUUGUCUCCAUAAUGCUAACAGAUUUCACCUUUCUUACAACUCACACUGAUUCCACCUUUCUUACAACUCCUAAGAACAUUUAAACACUGUACCAAACAUGAAGAAAAAUUUAAUAAUUUUACUUAUCAAAUAAUGCAUUCAUUGAAUUCUUACCCUUUUCCUUUCUUACGAAGGAAGUUCGUACAAGGGAGAUUCUUUUGAAGGGCAAAAUGAAGGAUGGGAUGCAUGAAUGGUAUGUUGAAAAAGAAGAGUAGGCUGUGGUAGUUAAUUUAUAAGAACAUAGCUAAAGAAUAAAGUUAAAAAACAAGAAGAAUAAUGAGAUGAAUGAUAUUUUAUUAAGAGUUUUCUUAAAAUAUAUAUAUUUUUAGCUUUUUUUUAUAUCUCUAUAUAAUGCUUAAGAUUACAUGACUUAUUAUAGACCUCAAGUUCUAUAUAAUAAUAAAAAUUAAACUAUUUUAAAAAAAAUUCUAAUCUAAUAAGAAAUUUAAUAUUCUAAUUAAAUACAGAUUCUAAUACACUAAUCUAUUACAAAUCUACAAAUCCUUUUUAAAUCGAGGGUUCUAAAUUGAAAUGGUUUAUUUUUUUGGUGGAAACUUUUGGUGAAUGUAUUGUUUGUUUUGGAUGAUCUUGUUGUCUAGAUUGAGUUUCCUGGUAGAGAACAGAAGGGGUUUCUUGCUGAUGUAAUGGCACUUGCAUUUAUCUAAAGUCAUAUGCACUCAUAUGCACAGGCCCUUCAAAGACUAAAGUUGAGUUUUCAGAGCUUCAGGUUCAGGACAAGUCAUAUGCACUCAUUGCACAGGCCCUUCAAAGACAGGCUAGGAAGUUCAAGACUAUAGUAGCCGUGGUGGAUGCUAGUGGCUUAGCAGGUAUUAGGAAACAUUGGAACACUCCUGUUCCUCCAGAAGUGAAGGAUUUGGUUGGGAAGCUUGUCACUGAUUGUGAAAGUGACGGAGAAGUUCCCAAUCAUGAUGAAAAGAGACGGCUACUUUCAAACAAACCUAUGGUGGCAGUUGGAGCUGGGGCAACAGCAAUUUUUGGAGCUUCGUCUCUUUCCAAAGUUGUUCAUGCAUCGACAUUCAUGAAGGUUGUUACAUUUAAAUUUCCUACUGCCCUUAAGCUUUUGCUGAUCCAAACUCAAAAGAUAAUGGCAAUAUCUAUGGGCAAGACUCUUGGUCCAACAAAACUGCUGGCCCCUGGACUGGCCAAUUCUGGAGCCAUGCAACAUCUGCGUUGAAAGCAGCUGUUUCUGCUGAGAAAAUCCGGACAGUGGUCCACAGUGUUAUAGCCUCUGCUGAGAAAACCAGUUUUUCAACUAUGAGAACAGCUUUCUAUGAAAUAAUGAGAAAACGGCAGGUUCAACCUAUUGGUGUCCUACCUUGGGCAGCAUUUGGUUGCAGUGUUGCAACUUGCUCAGCAUUGCUCAUGUAUGGAGAUGGGAUUGAAUGUGCUGUUGAGUCUCUUCCUGCAGCCCCGUCAAUCGCCAGUUUGGGUCGUGGGAUUCAAAGCUUGCACCAGGCAUCUCAAGUAGUUGGGCAGACAGAUGGCACCAGAAUACAAAAAUCUAUAGUCUUUGAUGAACAGGUUGAGGAAAGUAAAGAUGCAAUAAAGUAGGACUCGCAUCUUUUAUUUUGUUGUAUACAAGCUGAUACUGCUCAAAAGUUAUUAGUACUGGAAUUUAGAGAAAUCUUCUGUAUAUAAAUAGAAAGCAGGAGGGGUGAUUUGUAUUGUCAUGGGUGUUGAUCUUUUUUUGAAGUCAAUUUUCUAAAGGGUUCUUUACAAUGCUGCCUGGUAAACAUAUUACAAUUGUUUCCUCUCCCUGCUUCCCUCUCCCUUUAUCUCUAUGUUUAACUCCAUUUGACAAUUUCGCAUAGGUAUUACUUGAGAUUGCAUUGUUAAUUCUGACGCAGUCGAGAUUGGCUUUCUUUGCUCUCAAGCAAGGCUGCCAUUGUUAUGAAUAGCAGGCUGCUUGCCAGAAGCUCUUCUCCGGUUUCACAGUCCUUGAUUCGAUCUACUCUCCAUUACUAAAUUGUUUGUGUAAUUUAAAUCAUAACUGAAAGUUUUCGAAUCCUAUGAUGAAGCCAAGCACAUUAACUAUAAACCAAAAGAGGAGAUGGUUUUAGUGCAUCCCUCCUCACACAUCACUAUUUAUUAGAAUAUUAUUUUUGUUUUGUUUUUUAUUUCUUUGAUUUCUUUUUCAACUCCUCACACAUCACUAUUUAUUAGAAUAUUAUUUUAUUUUAUUUUAUUUUUAUUUCUUUUUCAAUUAUUUUUUUAUCCUUUAGUUUUUUUUUUUUUGCUAUUGUUUUUUUUCUUUUUUUUACAUGUUUUUUUUUCUUUUCUUUUUUCGCUGUUGUUUCUUCUUCUGUUUUUUUUUUACAUGUUUUUUUUCUUUUUUUUUUACCCAAAAUUGACUUUUUCUUCUUCUUUUUUUUUCAAAAUUAUCUUUGCUAAUUUUUUAAAAUAUUGAGCUGGUUGAAAAUUUAACUAUAUAGUUUUUUAAAAAAAACAUUGUGGAUUGCUAUAAUAUUCUCAUACAUUGUUUUUUUUUCUUUUUUAUGAUUUUUUUUAAAUGAUCUUUGUAGAUUUUAUUUUUUUUAUAUUAAGUUGGUUGAGAAUUUAGCUUUGUAGUUUUUUUUGUUAUUUUUUAAAAAACAAUAUGGAUUGCUACAGUGUUUCCCCUACAUAGUUUUUGUUUUGCUGCAGUGUUUUCCAACAUAUAUUUUUUAAAAAGUUAUCUUUAUUGAAUUUAUUUUUUCAAUAUUGAGCUGCUUGAUAAUCUAGCUUUAGCUUUUCCCACAUGUUUUUUUAUUUGUUUUUCUUUUUUUUCCAAAAUUGUCAUUUUUUACAUAUUUUCUUCUUCUUUUUUUCAAAAUUAUUUUUGUUGAUUUUUUUUCUUACUAUUGAGCUGGUUGAAAAUUUAGUUUUUUUGUUUUUUCUUAAAAUAUUGUAUCUUUCUCCACGUGUUUUUUUUUCUGCUUUUGUUUCCUUUUUUUUACAUGUUUUUUUUUCAUUUCUUUUACCCAAAAUUGACAUUUUUUUUUUAAAAUAGUCUUUGUCGGUUUUUUUUAUAUAUUGAGCUAGUUGAGAACUUAACUUUGUAGCUUUUUUUUUUUUUAAAAAAAAAAACACUAUGACAUUAAUGUUCACAAUAUCAGUGCUGGUACUAGCAGUUUGAUGGGGUUAUCUUGAUCUUAUGACCCGGGUUGCAAGUUUGACAUGUUAACUCAGGUUAUUUUUUUAAUUAUUUUUUUUCAAUUUCAUCCUUCAAUUUUGGGUUGAUUGAGAAUUAAAUUCAUAAUUUAUUUUGAUUUGUUUUCUAUAAGGUUAUCAUAAUCUCAUAACUCAGGUCAUGAAUUUGACUUGUUAAGCUGGAUUGUCCCAAGUCAAUCUAAUAUGUUGUUAUUUUAAUAUUAAAAAAGAUAUUAUCUUGAAAUUUUGUUUAGUCAAAUAUUAUUUUUACAGGUUAUAUGGGUUGUUUUUGAAUCAAUAAAGUUAACCGGGUUGAAUCAAUAAAGUUAACCGGGUUAUAUCAAGAAAAUUCUGACUUUGUCAGAAUUUAAUUUUUUUCAUGCUAGAAAAAAAAUAUUAACAUUUAAAUAUUUGUUUUAUAUUCAAGAAAAAUUUGACUUUGUCCAUAACGUAACACAAUUAAAGUUUAUUACUAGUUAUUUUGGGAGGCUAGAAAAUUCUGCUAGAUGUGCAGACUAUUUCCUUAAUAUUAAUUAUUGAUGACAAAUAUAACUUUAUGUCCAGUUAUAAGCUGCUAGAAUUUGAACUGCCUUGGUUUAUAAUUUUUUUUUUUUGUGGAGAUGUGAAAGUAUGAAUCCUCACCAGUUGAGUGACAAACUACUGUUUAUUGGGAGAAAUGAUUCUUGAACUUUUCUUGGCCAUCUGGCAGCCUAUGAUAGAUUUCCUAAAAUUUAUUUAUGCGGCCUUCUAUCUUAAAGAAUUUGACAAGAAACGAUCGGUAGAAAUUUAUAAAAAAUUUACUUUUUAAAAUUUGAUUUAUAGUUAAAUAGAUGUUAUUAAACUUGGCUGGAUACAUCAACUUAGAAUCUAGUUAAAUUCAUCCAUUUAUAAAAAAAUCUACUUCUCAUCUAAAACUUGGCUUAAACCUGAUUAAAAAAAUUAGGUAAAAAUUAAUCUAGUUAAAUAAGAGAUCCGGUAAAUUAACUUGCAAUCCAAUCAUCUUAGUUAAAAUUUAAUUUGAUUAUUAAAGUUGUUUUCCUUAAAGCAAUGACAUUUUUUUUUUAAAUUGUGAAAUAAUUCACCCGAGUAAACUUUGUUUUUCUUAAAGCAAAAACAUUUUUUUUAAAUAGUGAAAUAAUUCACCAGAGUAAACUUUGAUUUAAACUUGAAAAUCUUGAAAUAAUUAAUUUGAAGUUAAUUAUUAGUACUCUCAUCCAAUUCUCAAUUAUAAUCAUGACACAUGUAAUUGUUUUUAUUGUUUAAGGGCUAAUUAUUUUUAUGUUUUAAAAAUAUUUUAAAAAAAUAAUUUUUUUAAAUUUUUUUGUUUCAAAUUAAUUGGUAUUUGAUAAUUUCAUAUUGUUUUAAUGUGUUGAUGUCAAAAAUAAAUUUUAAAAAAUAAAAAAUAUUAUUUCGAUACAACACAGUUAUCAUAUUCUAAAACAUACAAAGUAUUUUGUCAAAAAACUUCACAUGAAAUCAAGACAACACACAAGCAAUUCAUUCUAUCAAUCUGGAAUUGCAUUACAAAAACGUGAAAAAAUAAAAUAAAAUUCUGGAGUUAACUCAGAAUCUAGUAUUAUAAGUAAUUAAUUAUACAUGCAUCAGCUAGCGUUAAUUUGAUUCCAAUCACACCUUAGAAUCCAACCUCCGUGCUUCUUUUCGUGCGAGAUGGAUAAGAAACAGUUCACUUCGAGAUCAAGCACAUAUGCUUCAGCUAGACAGUACCCAUGAGUUGCCAUGGCCUGAAAACAUGUUCCAGGUGUCUUUGUUGAGAGACCAGUGGAAAUGAACUAGGGUUGAUGAUGAGCUGAGAGGCUCUGUUUAGGUCAUUUUAUAAGGGUCUGUUGGCUUGGGGAGGAAGGACGUCGUGUGAUGUUUAGUGGUCCAAAUGGAACUUGAAAGUGAAGUAUUUGUAAUUUUUUAGUGGACAAUGUCAUGGCAGCGUAGAAACUUUGUGGAAAUGGACAAUUAAAAAAACAGGGGAUGUAAGAAACCCUUGUUUUUAGUUAUUAGUGAUUAUGUGUGCAACAUCCGGAAUUUUGCAUUGAAAGAAAGGAAGAAAUUAUGUAGAGGAAACACACCCUUGGACUUGUAAAUGUUAUACAUACUUAAUACAUGAACUCCUAACCAGUUACCGAAGGUAACCUCAACUUAUAAUUACUCUGUUUAGAGAAAGCUGCCAACUCUUGUUGAAGCCAUUGCAUGCAUUCUGAUGAACUUGGACUGGGCUUUCCACUAUUGCAAUCUUGGGCUACAAGCUCUGGGAUGCUUCUAACAGAGACACAAUAAUGGGAGAAAUGAGUGUGUAGCUCUUGAAGACAAAAUGUCAAAUCUUUCAUUUGGUAAGGGUGAUCGAUGUUUGUUCUUUGAAGAUCAUGCAGUUAUUGAUCCUGUCUUGCAUCUUAAACUCUUUUGACGAGGAGCUUGCGUGCGAGAUUCAGAGGAAGAUUGAUGAAGAUGGACCGGGCUUUCCACGAUUGCAAUCUUGGGCUUCUUCUAGGUUUGUAAUUCCAUUGUAAUCGUUCAAGUUGGCCAUGACAAAGACACAAUCAUUGAAGAAAUAAGUGUGUAGCACUGGAAGAUUGAAUGAAGAAUCUUUCAUUUUGUAGGGGUGAUCGUAGUUUUAUUUAUUGAUCGGGUCUUGCAUCUUGAUGUCGGCAAAUGCUUUUUUUGUUUUUCCGACCUAUAUAGCAAUAAAAUUUGAAAUCACCGACAAAAAAAAAACUGACGGACAUAUUCUAUCAGUAAAUAAUUUACCGAUGAACUCUUAAUCAUACACCGAUAGAAUAUUUUCAUCGGUAAAACUCCGAAAUCUUGUAGUGUGAAUAUGACUUGCUAAGGAAUGUUGUUUAUAACGAGAGAGACUCCUUCAGAGAGUUGGAGAAUGAGUUUUCUCAUGUCUGCUAGCUUGCACGUUGUUUUAUCCUGUUUCUUAAAGGAACUGAAGUUGUUUUUGUACACAUAAUAGAGCUAGAUGUUAUGUUUUUCAUAAAGAGAGUGAAAAAGUUCGAAGCUAUUGUUAUAUUGAUACAACACCAUUGUUGAGCACUUUCACCUGAUAUAUGAUUUACUGGAGAUUUUGAGCAGUUGGAAUAUUGAGAGAUUUGUUAUUAUUUCAUGUUCUGAAGUUUCAAAUCGUUAUCCAUUAAAAGAAUUUUUGGUUACUCUUACUAGCUUUCCACUAAUAAAGUCAAGAAAACUUCAUGGUUGAAUUAAGCUUUUUGAGACUUCAAUCUUGGAUCGGUGGAGUGAUAAGCUUUGUGAGGGCGAGCCCGUUUAUAGGAUUUGUACAUAUGUUUUGUUAACCCAGGUACUUUCAAUUUUAAUAUAUAUAUAUAUAUAUAUAUAUAUAUAUAUAUAUAUAUAAAAGUUACAUUUAAUUUAUGAAAUUAUUAUUUUAUAUUUAUAGUAAUGUUAGAUCUUAACUUGUAUUGGUGUAAAUAUUUUAUAUGACAUAUGAUUGGUUAAUUAUUGAUUUUAUUCUUAAACAUAUUUGGAUAAAUGAUUUAAUAACUAAAUAAAUCUUAAUUUAAUUAUAUUAUCUUCUUAGCCAUAAGUUUUUUUUUUUAUGAUAUAUAUAUAUAUAUAUAUAUAUAUAUAUAUAUAUAGACACACACACAUUUAUCAUUUUUGAUAGGUGUAGAAGUUGCUAUUUUAAAUUAUUUAAAAUAAAAAUUUUAAUACUCAUAUAAAAUAAUUAUAUUAUCAUUUUUCCUUAAAAAGAUCUAAAAAAGAUAUGAGCUUUGGUAGAAUUUUUGUUUUGGUAGGAUUUUAGGUUUUGGGGCGUUUUAUUGGGUUUUUGGUGGCCAUGGAUUGACUUAACAAGGUCUCUAGGGUCUUUUCUAGGUGUCUUGGAUAAAAUAUAAGUUGAAAAUUGAUUUUUGGGUAAAAAAAAUAAAAGACCUUGUUUUCCCGGCCAUCAUAAUAGCUGAAUUCUAGGUUGCGCAAACGACGCAUCAUUGUUUCGAGGCAAUAUAAUUUUUUUUUUAAAUAAAGACCUGCGCAUUAGCCGUUGCUUUAUUGGGUCAGAUGUUAGGUGUGGCUUGCCUGGCCCAACAGUGCCUGGCCUGAUUUUUUUUUUUUUAAUUUUUAGUUUUGUGUGUAAUUAAUCAAAUAAAUAUUAGGUUUAUGUUUUAAUUAGAUUGUGAUUAAUUUUAAAUGAUAUUGAUUAUGUUUAAUUUUUAAAGAGGUAAGUAUGAUUCAUUUGUGAUUUUUUUCUUAAUUUUAUAUAGAUUAAAUUUGUUUUUUUAAUAAGAAUUUUUAUAUGUGCAGCCUUACAUUGUUUUUUUUAAUUAUUAUUCAAAAAUUUUUAUGUGAGUGUUAGUUUCUAUUACAAAUUUAGUUUGAUAGAGGGGUUCAUUAAACACAAUCAUGUAAAUUACCCAUAUUGUAAUUUUAACACUCAUUAUUUUUAUUGUAGUUUCUUGAUUUUUUAUUUUUGUGUUGUUUUUCCUGUGAUUUUAACCCUCAUAUUUUUUCUAUGUAUAAUGCUUUUUUCCUAUAACCUAGUUCAUUGUUUAAAAAGUUAACAUGAAUUGACUUUUUUUGUCUUAUUUUUUUUAUAUUUAUUUAUUUUUCUUUUUAUAUAAUUAUUUUAUUCUCUUUUAAUUUUUAUUUUAUUAACAAAUAAGAUUAUUGAGAUGUUUUGAAAAUAUUAUGAAGAUAUAGUUAUAUAAUAUUGACAAACGUUCGCAUUGAAUUAUUUUUUUUUUCUUAUUUUAUUUGUUGUCAACAUCAUUAAAUUAACUAAUUUUAUUAAAUUUAUUAGAGCAAAUUACCUAUAUAUUAUUUUUAAAAAAAUAAUUUUUAAUAUUUUUAUAGUAAUUGGUACUUGUGGCUGGACCCGCCUAACUAGUCUUAGCUGUAAACAUAUCAUGUUAUGCCAUCCAUGUCACAAACUCAUUUAAAGCUUGACGCAUUGGUCAAUUAUUUUAUAUUUCAGUGUUUUGUGACAUUAACAAUGAAGUUAUUGAUUGAAGCAUUGGUCCACACUCUUAGUGUCUUUCAUGGCGAAGACCCCCCCCCCCCCUCCAUGUGCACUCAGGUCAAUGAUGAACAAUUGUAGGGUUCUUGGUUAUUACGCAAUAUUUUUUUUGGGCGCCAAACCUGACCUUUGAAGAUGUCAUUGACAGUGCCGCCCCAUCUUUUAUUUUUUUGUUUUUUUAUUGUGUGGGUGGCGCAAUAAUUUAAUAUAUGUUUAUUUUUAUAUUUCAAAAAUAUUUUUUAAAAAUUUAAAAAUUAAUAUAUUUUUAGUGUUUUUAAAUUAUUUUGAUAUGUUAGUAUUAAAAAUAAUUUUUAAAAAAUAAUAAAAAAUUAUUAAUAUAUAUUUUGACACGAAAAAUUAUUUGUAAAACAAUCACACUACUAAAUAAUAUCAAAUAAUUGUUGGAUUGUAGAGGAUUGUUCUCAUAAUUUUUUUUAUAUUUGUUUUUAUUUCAGUUUUUAUUCUAUUAAUUUUUUAUUUUUUUAUUUGAUACUUUUAUUUAAAAUUUUAAUCGCUUUCAAUAAAGCUUGUCGGUGGUAAGACACACUCCGAAGCAACCUGUGGUUCCACGACAAAAAUAUGAGCUCUUUCUUUUCCGUGGUCCACCACCUUUAAUUUCUUUCAUGGCAAGACUUUUGCCCCCAUGAGUAAGCAGGUCAAUGACGAAGAAUUGUAGGGUUCUUGGUUAUUUCUCCCUGCAAUUCCUUCACAAUUAUGUGAUAUAUUGAUUUUUUUCGCAUUUGAAAUGAGUUAGAGUAUUAGAUGUUAAAUAAUAUUUAUAUAGUUUUAUUUAAUAAAAAUAAAAUAAUACUUUCAGUUUGAAUCUAUAUAUAUUUUAUUUAUAUUUAGGUUAGGAUUAUACACUCAUAAUAUAUAAAUUAUUCAAAAUUUUAGUAUUUUUUAUAUAUUUGAUUUUAAUUAUUUUAACACUAAAUUACUUAAAUAUGAUGAAUAAAGGGUUGGAUUUGUAAAAUUAUUUACACAUUUUAAUUUGUCGAUCGUCAUUUUCUGCUGUAUCAUCGACGUUCUUCCUUCCUCCAACCAUUUCGAACACUAAUAUCCCAAAGCUGUAAACAUCUGAUUUAUAGGAAACACUCCCGAAGUUCCUCGAGAACACUUCUGGGGCAAUGUAGCCAACAGUCCCCCUAGCAGUCGUCAUGGAAAUGGCACUUUUAUCCUUGGAACACAACUUACCAUCCCAAAAUCGGCGAUUUUGGGAUUGAAUUCGUUGUCAAGCAGGAUAUUCUGUGGUUUGAUAUCAAAAUGGAGGAUUCUUUGAUCACACCCCUGGUGAAGAUAUUCAAUCCCCUUGGCUAUGCCUAUAGCAAUUAUUCUUUAUAUAUAUAUAUAUAUAUAUAGAGUAAUUGACUUUUUUUUUUCAUUUUUUUUCUUUCUAUACAAUUAUUAUAUUUUUUUUAAUUUUUAUUUUACUAACAAAUAAGAUCAAUGAGAUAUUUUAAAAAUAUUAUAAAGAUAUUGUUUUAUAAUAUUGACAAACAUUUAUUUUUUAUAUUGAAUCAUUAUUUUUUUCUCAUUUUAUUUAUUAUAAAAAUAAAAUAUACUUCCAUAAUAUUUAUAAUUAUUCUAUUCUCAUUAAUCAUGGUAAAAAUAAUUGGCCCGUGGCGCGACAUCCUAACUAGUCUUAUCUAUAAACAUAUCAUGUUAUGCCACAUACUCAUUACACAUUGGUCAAUUAUUUUAUACUGAUUGGAACGUUAAAGAGCCGGUCAAUUAUUUUAUAUUUCAGUGUUUUGUGACAUUAGCAAUGAAGUUACUGAUUGAAACAUUAUUCGUAAUUUAUUUUUGUGUUUUAAAAAUAUUUUUAAAAUUUUAAAAUUUAUUUAAUUUUUUAAAAAAUUAAUAUAUAUUUUUAAUAUUUUUAGAUUAUUUUAAUACAUUAAUAUCAAAAAUAAUUUUUAAAAAAUAAUAUAUAUAUAUAUAUAUAUUUUUAAAUAAAAAUAUUUUAAUAAAUAACUAUAAUUAUACUUUCAAACAAAUUCAGUUGCUUUCCUGACGAAGACAUUUCCCCGUGCGCACUCAAGUUAAUAAUGAUGAAGAAUUGUAGGGCUCUGGGUUAUUACGCGUUAACGAGUUGUUGGUGUCCCCAACAUUGGAGAUGCCACCAUAUCUUUUUCUUUUUCUCUUUUAAAGCUGUGAGCGUGAUAACAUGUGAUUAUUGAAUUGUCGCUUAUUGUUUCCUUAUUAUUUUUGAUAUUUUAUUUUUAAUUUUUAAUUUUUAAUUUUUAAUUUUUAAUUUUAUUCUUAUAUUUUAUAUCAAAAUUUUAUUUAUUUUUCAAUUAUAAUUUUAUUUAUUUCAGUUUUUAUUCUAUUAAUUUUUAAUUUUUUUAUUUGAUACUUUUAUUUAAAACUUUAAUCGCUUUCAAUAAAGCUUGUCGGUGGUAAAACACACUCCGAAGCAACCUGAGGUUCAACGACAAAAAUAUGAGCUCUUUCUUUUCUGUGGUCCACCACCUUUAAUUUCUUUCAUGGCAAGACUUUUGCCCCCAUGCGCAAGCAGGUCAAUGACGAAGAAUUGUAGGGUUCUUGCUUAUUUCUUCUGGUCCAGAAGUCUCUGCCGUGUAACAAUCUAUGGGUAGAAAUUAAUGGCAAAGGGAAGAGAUGAAAGAAGAAGGUCCAUCAAAAUCCUUCUAUCCUCCCUGCAAUUCCUUCAGAAUUCUAGGACUUGUUUAUUUUUGUAUUUUUAAAAUAUUUUAAAAAAAAUUAAUUUUUUUUAUUUGUUUAAAAUUAAAACACGUCAAUUACAAGAUAUUAAAUAAUCAAAGAAAACAUCCAAGUUUAACAUCAUAAAAUAAUAAUAAAUUAGUUCAUUGUAUAGAGAACAAUAAAUUUGUCUUAAUAAAAAAUUAAAUGAAAUCAAUCGUAUGAAAGUGAAAUAAAACAAUAAGUGAUGCCUAAUCCUUUGAUCUCCCACCAACAAUCUUUUAGCAAUAUUUUGUUGAAAACGUGUACCUCUGAUCUUACAGUUUUGUUCUUAGUUUUAUUGUCUUCAUUUGUAUUCUAUCAUUUGAAUUUUCAGACUAGUAGGUAAACAUAAAUGCAUCUAGCAACAAUUUCUCCAAGUUUUUUUUAUUGAAUCUAUGAAGAGAAUUUCAAGAAGUUAAUUAUAAAUUUAUAUAAACUCUUGUAUUAAAACAAUCAAAUUAUAUUAUAAAAUUAAUUUUGUUAUUAAUACUGUGUUGAAUUCAGAAUUUGUGAUCUAAAUAGUUAAUUUGAUCAUAGUUUGGCGAGUUUUUUUUAUCUUUUUUGAUCUGAAAAAUAUUUAUCUUGAAAUUUUGUUAGAAAAGAAUAUCAUUGCAUUGACAUGGUCUUGAUGAUGACUUACCAAAAUAAUUUUGAAUUGUCGAUGCUCCAUAGAGUGUUUAAGGCACAAGCCACUCUCUCCCAGGGAAGCAAUGAUUUUUAGUCCAAGUUAUCAUGUGCGUGCUUGAAAGUUUUUUUGUCCCGUAAUUGCAGCAAAAUUUGAAUUUUGCACCUAAAACGAUCGAUAGCAAAAACAAUCUGUAAUUUUUCUUGUAAAGAUCUGUAAAGUAAUUAUAAGAUCUGGACUUGGAUUUAGAACUUGAAAAAUCUUCUAAAUGAAUAAUAGAAAAGAAAAGAGAAGAGAAGAAAAGAAAGAAAGCUAAGCUUUACAACUGGAAAAAACAUUAUCAGCACUGGAUAAAUAUGAGAUGUUUAAGUUAAGUUGAUGCUGAAAUUCUGAAAUGUUUAUUUCUAUCACCCUCCCGAUCACUCCUUACAUAAAUAGCAUGACGUCAUAGCUUCACUAUGAGGUAAAGGUUCCAAUACCAAAAUACAAAACAAUCCCUAGAAAUAAUAAAAUCCUAAUUUCAUCCCCGGAAUAAUAGCAUAUGGCUAGAAAUCAUGGAACAUUGUCAACUGUGCUCAGCAAACUUUCAGGAUCUACUUCAAUUUUCUUAAGAGAAGGGGAAAUAGCGAUCGGGAUCCUCGUUAGCUGCGGGCAAUCACGCACAGUAAUUUCUUCGAGAGAAUCGCAUUGAAGUCUUCGAGAACAAAUGCUAUUCAAAUUUGGUAAUUUCUUCAAUACCAAAACCCUCAAUUUAUCAAUGGGAGUGCAUGUCGUCGGAACAGAACGACCCAAAAGAGUAAUGGGCAUGGAGCCACUUCCCAUUAUCUCCUGCAUGUUGUGACAAUCUUCGACUACAAUCACUUUCAAUCGGACUGUAGACAACAACCAAUGAGGGAGCAGCACCUUCAUCCUAUGACAUUUAUGUAUCACCAUCUCUCUGAGUCGGCGAAAGACACCAGCAUUACGUAGCUCUGAAGGUGCUUCAAAAAGGGUUUCUAAGAUUAUCAAACGAUCAAGGUGUAGAAUCUCAAGACCUGCACUUUCAUGUGAUCGAAAUAAGCUUCUCAUGUUUUGACAACUCACAAAAACUGCUUUUGUAGUGAAGUACAAAGAAGUUGCAUUUUCACUCAUGAGGUCAUAAAACCAAGCCUCUUUAAUUAACGUUGACUUCGAUCUUGUAUAAUUUAGAUCUUCGAGUGAAGAGAAAGAAGGUCGUCCUACAGUAACCUUGAAUGCAAUUUCUGAAAAUUUCUCUCCAGAUUGGAAAACUCUGAAAUCGUCUAGAUCACGGAAGUUGCAUUCCAAAGUUUCCAAACCAUAUAAUCUGGAAACUUCAUCUCCUCUAACUGAGAGAACAACUUCAUAUUUCUGAUGAAGCUUGAGGAACUUUAAUUUUAAGAGUUGGGGUAAAAUACCCGACCGUAAAACACGCACCCCGCGCUUCCAUCAAGAUUAAGAUACCUGAGAUCCUCCAGCCUUUCCAUUCCCUCGGGCAAAUCUUCAAGUCCAGUGUAACUGAGAUCCAACUUCUCCAAUGCCUUAAGCUUUGCUAAUGAUGGUACAUAACUCAGCUUUGCACACCAUCCCAGCAACAAUGCAGUGAGACUCGUCAGAUGAGAAAUAGAAUCCGGCAACUUCUCUAUAUCUGUGUCGGAAAGAUCAAGAACCUUGAGUCCGAUAAGGUGUUGGAAAAAAGAAUCCUCAACCAAAUUCAAUUUGUAGUUUCUGCAUAACAAUAAUGUUGAGAGACGGGGGCACAUUGGUGAAAAGCCUUUUGGAAUAUUCUCGAUUCUAUUUUCCAUUAGUGAAACUCUU
rnacentral:lncRNA from 1 species